UUUUUUGUAGUGUAAUCUCUCGAUCCAGAACUCAUGCGGGCCAUGGCAGACGCAAGGGAACGAUGAUGAAUGACUUGUUUGUUUUUGUGGAUGAGGAGUUGAGGAGGAAUGUGCAGUCAUCUUAGAAAAGGUAGUAUUUAUAACCGAGUACUAAUACGCUCCUAAGUGGUAAACCAUUUAGGUUUUUAUUGGUGUGAACAGGUUUGCAAUUAAAUAUAGCAUGGUAGUAAUUUGGAAUGUGACGGGAUGCAUGCUCCAAAUUUAUUGACGGAUCUAUAAUUUCUAAGUGCGGCACUAUUCCCGGACGGCCUGACGUGGGCUCGUGUUCUCGGCCGCGUACGUGGCAUUUGCAGGGUGCACCAUAAUAGGCGAUGUCAGCACACGUCUUGUUCCAUCAACCAUGUGCGCACGUUAUUACCAUCACGCACACUUCUUUUAAUUAGAAUCGGUGCCCGUCUAGCGCACACACCUUGAUUUGGCUGAACCGUUUGUGAUGCGUUGCCUAAUCAAAAACUGUUCAUCCGAGUGAACCGUAUGACGUAUAUCACACACACCUUGAUCUGGCUGACCCUUUCUUUUGUGUUGCCUAAUCACAAACAGUUCAUCCGAGUGAACUGUAUGGCAUAUAUCGCACACACCAUCAUCUGGCUGCCCGUCUCUGUUGUUCCGCCCCAUCACAGACAGUUUAUUGGAGUGAACUGUAUGCCAUAUAUCGCAUACGCCUCCAUCUGACAGCCCUUUCUUUUGUUCUGCCUCAUCACAAACAGUUCAUUGAACUAAACCGUAUGCCCCACAAUGCACACGCAACUAAUAUCAGAAACGUUUUGCAUCUUUUUUUAUGAUUUUUUACAUCACCGUUUGCGAUUAAUGCAUCGCACACAGUUUCGUCAAAGGGUCUUUGAUUGUAAUGUCGCGUUAGCAGCAUCCUGCAGUAGUGUCAUUAGGAGGCUUUUCAAAAACAAUAUGGAACACAUAAUCAACCAAAAUCUUAGCAUCAUUAAGUUGGCUAUCCUCAAAUACUUGUUGGUUCCCUUUUACAAUCCAAGAAUACUUUUGAUUAAUACCAUUGAAAACUUGUUGGAUUAUGUUUAAAGGUGGUAAUUCCUUCUUGGUAUUUUCAUCAAAAGUGUGGUUAUCACGAAACAAAUACCUCAAUAAAUAAUCUUCAUUGUGUAAAAUCUCAUCAAUCACGGGAUGUUCAUGGCACAUAUUGUAAAAUUCAAAUAUCUCUCUAGCCUCUUGCACUAUAUAAUCAAAUUAAUUCAUGAGGACAAGGGUAGCUAUCUUUUUAGCCUUAGGGUUAUCUAUAACAGGCAACUCAUAGAAUAAUCUUUGCAAAGUGGGAUGAGUGCAAACAAAUCUUCUCACAAGCUCAAUAUCAAGUGUGGAAAUAGCUUCAACAUAAUUUUUGGUUCUUUUAAGAAUACAAAUAUCAUCACGGACCAAAGUUCAUGUACAAUUAAAGAAUUCCUGAAUAAUGCUUUUUCCUAUGAUGUUACCACUCCCUGUUACAAAAGUUUUAGCAUCCAAAUUUGAGGGAGUUUAACCUUUAGGGAUUUGACCCUCUUCACCUUCUGGAUAACAAAUUCAGACAUGAUAGCAACUUCAAGCAAACAAACAAGCAAAAAAGGAAAAUGAAUAAUAUUUGUGUGUUUUUGUGAACAUGUUUUAGAAGUCGGGGAGAUGAAAAUGAGAGGCAAAUGACAAAUGAAUGUAAAUGCAAGGAGAUGAAAGUUUAUGGGAUGGUACUUGGUGAUGUCUCCCCGGCAACGGCAUCUGAAAUUCUUCUUGCUACUUGUGUGUUGCGUUGGGAUUUCCUUGAAGAGGAGUACUUCCUUCAAUUAAGAACCAAGGAUAUCAAUCCAGUAGGAGAACCAAGCAAUAUGUCGUGAACAAUACCUACACGCAAAAUAACAAAUAGUUGCACCCAACGCAGACAAGGGGUUGUCAAUCCCUUGGCAGUUAAUUGUAAGGAUCAAAUCUCAUAGUGAUAGAUAGGUAAACAAAGACACAAAAUAAAAUAAAGGUAAAUAAAUUGUAGAAAGGUAUUUUGGAUUUUGAGAUAUGAUAAAGAUAGACCCCGGGGCCAUAGUUUCACCAGAGGCUUCUCUCUCGAACAAAAAAACAUAUGGUAGGUAAACAAAUUACUGUUGGGCAAUUGAUAGAAAAGCACAUAGUUAUGAUGAUAUCCAAGGCAAUGAUCAUGUACAUAGGCAUCACGCCCGAGACAAGUAGACCGACUCCUACAUGCAUCUACUACUAUUACUCCACACAUCGACCGCUAUCCAACAUGCAUCUAGAGUAUUAAGUUCAUAAAGAACGGAGUAACGCCUUAAGCAAGAUGACAUGAUGUAGACAAAGUAAACUCAACCAAUAUGAAUAAACACCAUCGUUUUAUCCUUAAUGGAAAUGAUACAAAUAUGUUUCAUGUCCCUUUCUUUCACUGGGAUUGAGCACUGCAAGACCGAACCCAUUACAUAGAACCUCUCCCAUUGCAAGAUAAAUCAAUUUAGUUGGCCAAACCAAAUGGAUAGAUCAGAGAGAAAUACAAAGCUAUAACAAUCAUGCAUAAAAGAGUUUAGAGAAGACUGAAAUAAUAUUCAUGGGUAAUCUAAUCAUAAACCCACAAUUCAUCAGAUCCCAACAAACACACUACAAAACAAGAUUACAUUGAAUAGAUCUCCAAGAACAUUGAGGAGAACAUUGUAUUGAAGAUCAAUGAGAGAGAAGAAGCCAUCUAGCUACUAGAUAUGGACCCGUAGGUCUGUGGUAAACUACUUGCACAUCACCGUAAGGGUGGCAAGGUUGAUGUAGAUGCCCUCCUUGAUUGGUUCCCCCUCUGGCAGAGUGUCGGAAAAGGCCUCCACAUGGGAUCUCGCAAUAAUAGAAGCUUGCGGCGGCAGAAAAAGUAUUUUGCAUGGCUCUCUAUUGGUUUCCCGAUUUUGGAUAAUUUAUAGAGUUGGAAUUAGGUCAAGUGGAGGAAUGAGGGGCACACAAGACAAAUGGUCGCGUCCACCCCCUGCGCGCGCCCAUGUGCCUUGUGGCCUACUCCUUCGCCUUCUGGCCUCCUCCCAAAGAUUCUAGGGUCUCUUAUGUCCAGAAAACAAAUUGUCAAAAAGUUUCAUGGCAUUUGGACUUCGUUUGGUACUGAUUUACUGGAAAACCAAAAACAAGCAAAAAAACAACAACUGACACUUGGCACUAAGUUAAUAUGUUAGUCCCAAAAAAUGAUAUAAUAUUGCAUAUAGAACAUCCAAGAUUGAUACUAUAAUAGCAUGGAACAAUCAAAAGUUAUAGAUACAUUGGAGACGUAUCAAAGAUCGAUAAACUCUGGAUGUGAUUCAACAUCUCAUGGAGGUGAGAUAGCUCUUUGGAGUUCAGGGCCUUGUUAUAGGCUGGGCUGACCUGAAGCAUAAUCCGUGGAUCGCUUAACACGAGCCCGGCUUGUUGGUUGGCUAAUGACCCACAAGUAUAAGGUAUCAAUCAUAGUCCUUUCAAUAAGUAAGAGUGUCUACCCCAAUGAGGACUAGAAUGAAAUGACGAGCGGUAUCUAGCAAGGUAUUUUCUGCGGGCACUGAAACUAUUGGUAACAGAUAGUUCAUUAGUAAGAUAAUUCAUAACAGGUAACAAGUAACAAGUGUAGCAAAGGUGCAGUAACGUGGCCCAAUCCUUUUUAUAGUAAAGGAUAAUCCUGGACGAACUCUUAUAUAAAGCAAAGUGCUCCCGAGGACACAUGGGAAUUAUUGUCAAGCUAGUUUUCAUCAUGCUCAUAUGGUUCACGUUCGUUACUUUGAUAAUUUGAUAUGUGGGUGGAUCAGUGCUUGGGUGCUGUCCUUACUUGGAAAAUCCUCUCACUUAUGAUUAACCCCUCUUGCAAGCAUCCGCAACUACGAAAGAAGAAUUAAGAUAAAUCACACCAUAGCAUGAAACAUGUGGAUCCAAAUCAGCCCCUUACGAAGCAACACAUAAACUAGGGUUUAAGCUUCUGUCACUCUAGCAACCCAUCAUCUACUUAUUACUUACCAAUGCCUUCCCCUAGCCCCAAAUCAUGGUGAAGUGUCAUGUAGUCAACGUUCACAUAACACCACUAGAGGAAAGACAGCAUACAUCUCAUCAAAAUAUCGAACGAAUACCAAAUUCACAUGAUUACUUAUAACAAGACUUCUCCCAUGUCCUCAGGGACAAAUGUAACUAAUCACAAAGCAUGCUCAUGUUCAAGAUUAGAGGGGUAUUGAAUAUCAUUAAGGAUCUGAACAUAUGAUCUUCCACCAAAAAAACCUACUAGCAUCAACUACGAAGAGUAAUCAACACUACUAGCAACCCAUAGGUACCAAUCUAAGGUUCUAAGGCAAAGAUUGAAUACAAGAGGUAAACUAGGGCUUGAGAGGAGAUGAUGAUAAUGGAGAUGUUGAUGAAGAUUGACCCUCCCACAAUGAGAGGAUCAUUGGUGAUGACGAUGGUUUCGAUUUCCCCCUCCCGGAGGGAAGUUUCCCCGGCAGAAUCGCUCUGCCGGAGCCCUAGAUUGCUUCUACCCAGGUUCCGCCUCGAGACGGGGGCGCUUCAUCCUGAAAGCUUCCUUCUGAUUUUUCUAGGUCAAAACCCUUCAUAUAGCAGAAUAUGGACACCGGGGGCUAGCCAGGGGACCCACAAGCUUGGGAGGCACGCCCUGGGGGGUAGAGCGCGCCCCUAGGCUUGUGGCCACCUUGUGGGCCCCUCUCUGUUGUUUCUUCGCCCAAUAUUUUUAUAUAUUCGAAAAUAAUUCUCCAUAAAGUUUCAGGACACUUGGAGUUGUGCAGAAUAGGUAUCUUAUAUUUGCUCCUUUCCAAUCCAGAAUUCCAGCUGUCGGCAUUCUCCCUCUUCAUGUAAACCUUGUAAAUAAGAGAGAAAAGGCAUAAGAAUUGUAUCUUAAAGUGAAAUAACAGCCCAUAGUGCAAUAAAUAUAAACAUAAAAACAUGAUGCAAAAUGGACAUAUCAACUCCCCCAAGCUUAGGACUCACUUGUCCUCAAGCGAAAACCAAAAUCGAUAAUCAUGACCACAUCUUUAGAGAUACAAGUGUCAAUAAAAUAGAAUACGUACAUGAGAGCAUCAUGAUCAUCCUUAUAACGACAAUAUAUUAUAACUUCUUAUGCCAAAGUGACAAUUCAUUCACAAAGAAAAAAAUAGACCCAAAAACUUUAUUGAAAACUAACAAACUAUGAUCUCGGUCAUUGCAGCAAUUGCAAUUUAUCAUAACAUCGGAAAGAGUCAAUGUAAGAGCUUUUAUUUAGCAAGUUCACAAACUCAACCAUCAUUUAAUAUUUCAUAAUUGCUAACACUCACGUGAUACCUAUGAGAUUAAAGCUUCAAUCCGGCACAUAGGAAGAUAGGGGCUUAUAGUUUUGCCUCCCAACCAUUUACCACAAGGGUAACGUCAACAAUAAUAAUUUAUGAUCAACUACAUCCGAGUGGAUAUGUUUGUAUGGAUCUUUCCCCAACACAUAGUGCUUGCCAAAAAGAGAAAAUAUAAAAGGAAGGGUGAAGAUCACCAUGACUCUUGCAUAAGGGUAGAAAGUAAAAUAAAUGAUAGGCCCUUCGCAGAGGGAAGCAGAGGUUGUCAUGCGCUUUUAUGGUUGGAUCCACAAAAUCUUAAUGCAAAAGAACGUCACUUUAUAUUGGCGCUUGUGAUAAAGAACUUUAUUAUGUAGUCUGUCACUUUUAUUUCUUCCUCAUCACAAGUUCGUAUAAAGAUUAUUUUCCUCACACUAAAGAUCAUACAUAUUUAGAGAGCAAUUUUUAUUGCUUGCACCGAUGACAACUUACUUGAAGGAUCUUACUCAAUCCAUAGGUAGAUAUAGUGGACUCUCAUGGAAAACUGGGUUAAAGGCUUAUGGAUGCACAAUUAGUAUCUCUACUUGGUGCAGAAUUUUUGGCUAGCAUAGGAUGAGAAUCAAGCUCAACAUUUUGGAGGAUCCAUGACAAUAUAUCUUGCGGAUAUAAGGGAAGAUAACACAUUAUGUUGUCUUCCUUGUCCAACAUCAGCUUGUUAGCAUACAAUAUUUUAAUGAGUGCUCAGAAUCACAAAAGAUAUCCAAGAUAGUGUAUUUAUAUGUGAGACCUCUCUUUAUUACUUCCUAUUAAUUGCAACAAUGACAAAUACUAUGCUUGUCAACCCUUAGUAAAUUUCAUGCAUCAUACUUCUUAUAUGUGAAGUCAUCACUCCCCAUAAGAUUAUUAUAUGAUGAGGCACUUUGGUUUUAGUGAAAAAUGGGUUAGGUGGGUCAACAUGUUAUUAUACAUUGCUUCAACCUCUGUCAUUCUUAAUAGAGUUCCUGGGAAAAACAUCCAUUGUAAAUGUGGAGUCAGGCAAGGAGAUCCAUUUUCUCCUCUGCUAUAUGUGUUGGUUGGUGAGUUGCUGCAAAUAUUAGUUAAUGAAGCAUGGAAAAAUGGCACUCUUAAUUUACCUAUUGAUGCCAGCAACAAUGAGAGUUACCCCGUCAUCCUGUAUGCUGAUGAUACUCUUAUAAUUCUGCUUGAACAGGAGGAGCAAAUUAAUAAUUUCAUUGAGAUUCUGAACAGCUUCUCAAGAUUUACUGGGCUCAUUGUUAAUUAUAGUAAAUCAUCUCUCAUACCAAUCAACAUCUCUGAGGAUAGAGCUCAAGAAUUAGUUGACAUCCUUGGAUGUAAAAAGGAGUGCAUGCUUUUCACAUACCUAGGGUUGCCUAUGGGCACUACAAGGCCUAAAGUUGUUGAUCUCAUGCUAAUGGUAUCUAGGUUGGACCACAGAUUAUCUGGCAUUGCAAAUUUGAUGACAUAUUCAGGUAGACUCACACGUCUUAAAGCCAUUGUCUCUGCUUUGCCCAUUUUUGCUAUGUGUUGUAUUAGAGUUCCAUUCACUAUCUUGGAUCAUUUUGAGAAGUCUGGGAGAAGUUUCCUAUGGUAUGGAAAGGGGAUCAACAAGCAUGGAAAAUGUUUGGUUAAAUGGGAGAAGUUUCCUAUCUUGGACCAUCUUGGGGUUGAUCUUGCCCUUGGUCUUGUUCACGAGGUUGAGGGCCUUCACUUUGUUCUUUGGAAGCGUGUGGGUCUUGGGUUGGUGAUGGUUCCACCUGAGUGGAGCAUUGUCCUUCUCCUUCGGCCACAAGGGGUUCCUCAAUGGGUAGGAUAUGACCCACGCCCAUUCUUCUUAUGGCUUGGGGAGGAAUUUAUCACCUACAUCACAAGUACCACUUUGCUCCACUUGGGAGCCGUUAUUUUCGACAAACUCCACGUUACACGUCUCCUCAAUGAGUCUGGUGGACUUGUUGAGGACAUGGUAAGCAUGAGAGUUUGUAGCAUAACCAACAAAUAUGCCCUCAUAAGCUCUAGCCUCAAAUUUAGACAAAUAGACACCUUUCUCGAGAAUGAAACACUUACAACCGAACACCCGGAAGUACUUGAGGUUGGGCUUGUUACCAGUAAGUAUUUCAAAAGGAGUCUUGUUCAAGCCUUUGCGGAGAUAGAUCCGAUUUGAUGCAUGACAUGUUGUGUUUAUAGCUUCAGCCCAAAAGUUGUAUGGAGACUUGAACUCUGCCAUCAUGGUCCUUGCCGCAUCCAUCAAUGUCCGGUUCUUCCUCUCCGCGACACCAUUUUCUUGAGGGGUAUAUGGUGCAGCAUAUUGAUGCUUGAUCCCCUCAUCACUAAGAAACUCAUCCAAGGUGUAGUUCUUGAACUCGGUGCCGUUGUCACUUCUUAUUGUCAAGCUCUUUGAAUCAUGUUGAUGUUGAGCUUCAUUUGGAAAGUCGAUGACGGUUUGUUGAGUUUCACUCUUCCUCUUAAAGAAAUUGUUGGGGAACGUUGCAGAAAAUUAAAAAAUUUCCUACGAUUUCACCAAGAUCCAUCUAUGAGUUCAUCUAGCAACGAGUCAUGGGAGAGUGAUUGCAUCUACAUACCACUUGUAGAUCGCGUGCGGAAGCGUUCAAUGGAACGGGGUUGAUGGAGUCGUACUCGCCGUGAUUCAGAUCACCGAUGACCUAGUGCCGAACGGACAGCACCUCCGCGUUCAACACACGUACGGAGUGGAUGACGUCUCCUCCUUCUUGAUCCAGCAAGGGGGAAGGAGAGGUUGAUGAAGAUCCAGCAGCACGACGGCGUGGUGGUGGAUGCAGCAGAACUUCGGCAGGGCUUCGCUAAGCAACUACGGAAGGAGGAGGAGGUGUUGCAGGGAGGAGGGAGGCGCCAGGGCUUAUGGGUGCGGCCACCCCUCCCUCCCCUCCCUUUAUAUAGGCGCAAGAGAGGGGAGGGCGCAGCCUUGCCCCUUCCUCCAAGGAAGGGGUGCGGCCAAGAGGGGGGGAGGAGUCCAUCCUCCCCAAGGCACCUCGGAGGUGCCUUCCCCUCUUUGGACUCUCCCCUCUCCAAGUCUUCUUGGCGCAUGGGCCUCUUGGGGCUGGUGCCCUUGGCCCAUAUAGGCCAAGGCGCACCCCCUACAGCCCAUGUGGCCCCCCGGGCAGGUGGACCCCCCCGGUGGACCCUCGGACCCCUUUCGGCACUCCCGGUACAAUACCGAUAAAGUGCGAAACUUUUCCGGCGACCAAAAUAAGACUUCCUAUAUAUAAAUCUUUACCUCUGGACCAUUCCGGAACUCCUCGUGACGUCCGGGAUCUCAUCCGGGACUCCGAAAAACAAUCGGUUUGCUGCAUACUCAUAUUCAAACAACCCUAGCGUCACCGAACCUUAAGUGUGUAGACCCUACGGGUCCGCGAGACACGUAGACAUGACCGAGACGGUUCUCGGGCAAUAACCAAUAGCGGGCUCUGGAUACCCAUGUUGGCUCCCACAUGCUCCUCUAUGAUGUCAUCGGAUGAACCACGAUGUCGAGGAUUCGAUCAAACCCCGUAUACAAUUCCCUUUGUCAAUCGGUACGUUACAUGCCCAAGACUCGAUCGUCGGUAUCCCAAUACCUCGUUCAGUCUUGUUACCGGCAAGUCACUUUACUCGUACCGUAAUGCAUGAUCCCGUGACCAAACACUUGGUCACUUUGAGCUCAUUAUGAUGAUGCAUUACCGAGUGGGCCCAAAGAUACCUCUCCGUCAUACGGAGUGACCAAUCCCAGUCUCGAUCCGUGUCAACCCAACAGACACUUUCAUAGAUACCUGUAGUGCACCUUUAUAGUCACCCAGUUACGUUGUGACGUUUGGUAUACCCAAAGCACUCUUACGGUAUCCGGGAGUUACACGAUCUCAUGGUCUAAGGAAGAGAUACUUGACAUUGAAAAAGCUCUAGCAAAACGAACUACACGAUCUUGUGCUAUGCUUAAGAUUGGGUCUUGUCCAUCACAUCAUUCUCCUAAUGAUGUGAUCCCGUUGUCAAUGACAUCUAAUGUCCAUAGUCAGGAAACCAUGACUAUCUAUUGACCAACGAGCUAGUCAACUAGAGGCUCACUAGGGACAUGUUAUGGUCUAUGUAUUCACACGUAUAUUACGAUUUCCGGAUAAUACAAUUAUAGCAUGAAUAAAAGACAGUUAUCAUGAACAAGGAAAUAUAAUAAUAAUGCUUUUAUUAUUGCCUCUAGGGCAUAUUUCCAACAGUCUCCCACUUGCACUAGAGUCAAUAAUCUAGUUACAUUGUGAUGAAUCGAACACCCAUAGAGUUCUGGUGUUGAUCAUGUUUUGCUCGCGAGAGAGGUUUAGUCAAUGGAUCUGCGACAUUCAGAUCCGUAUGUACUUUGCAAAUAUCUAUGUCUCCAUCUUGAACAUUUUCACGGAUGGAGUUGAAACGGCGCUUGAUGUGCCUGGUCUUCUUGUGAAACCUGGGCUCCUUGGCAAGGGCAAUAGCUCCAGUGUUGUCACAGAAGAGUUUGAUCGGCCCCGACGCAUUGGGUAUGACUCCUAGGUCGGCGAUGAACUCCUUCACCCAAAUUGUUUCAUGCGCUACCUCCGAGGCUGCCAUGUACUCCGCUUCACAUGUAGAUCCCGCCACGAUGCUCUGCUUGCAGCUGCACCAGCUUACUGCUCCACCAUUCAACAUAUACACGUAUCCGGUUUGUGACUUAGAGUCAUCCAGAUCUGUGUCGAAGCUAGCGUCGACGUAACCCUUUACGACGAGCUCUUCGUCGCCUCCAUAAACGAGAAACAUGUCCUUCGUCCUUUUCAGGUACUUUAGGAUAUUCUUGACCGCUGUCCAGUGUUCCUUGCCGGGAUUACUUUGGUACCUUCCUACCAAACUUACGGCAAGGUUUACAUCAGGUCUGGUACACAGCAUGGCAUACAUAAUAGAUCCUAUGGAUGAGGCAUAGGGGAUGACGCUCAUCUCUUCUUUAUCUUUUGCCGUGGUCGGGCAUUGAGCCGAGCUCAAUCUCACACCUUGCAAUACAGGCAAGAACCCCUUCUUGGACUGAUCCAUUUUGAACUUCUUCAAAAUCUUAUCAAGGUAUGUGCUUUGUGAAAGACCUAUGAGGCGUCUCGAUCUAUCUCUGUAGAUCUUGAUGCCUAAUAUAUAAGCAGCUUCUCCAAGGUCCUUCAUUGAAAAACACUUAUUCAAGUAGGCCUUAAUGCUGUCCAAGAAUUCUAUAUCAUUUCUCAUCAAAAGUAUGUCAUCUACAUAUAAUAUGAGAAAUGCUACAGAGCUCCCACUCACUUUCUUGUAAACGCAGGCUUCUCCAUAAGUCUGCAUAAACCCAAACGCUUUGAUCAUUUCAUCAAAGCGAAUGUUCCAACUCCGAGAUGCUUGCACCAGCCCAUAAAUGGAUCACUGGAGCUUGCAUACUUUGUUAGCAUUCUUAGGAUCGACAAAACCCUCCGGCUGCAUCAUAUACAGUUCUUCCUUAAGAUGCCCGUUAAGGAAUGCCGUUUUGACGUCCAUCUGCCAUAUCUCAUAAUCAUAGUAUGCGGCAAUUGCUAACAUGAUUCGGACGGACUUAAGCUUCGCUACGGGAGAGAAAGUCUCAUCGUAGUCAAUCCCUUGAACUUGCCGAUAACCAUUAGCGACAAGUCGAGCUUUAUAGAUGGUGACAUUACCAUCUGCGUCCGUCUUCUUCUUAAAGAUCCAUUUGUUUUCUAUCGCUCGCCGAUCAUCGGGCAAGUCAGUCAAAGUCCAUACUUUGUUUUCAUACAUGGAUUCUAUCUCGGAUUUCAUGGCUUCUAGCCAUUUGUUGGAAUCUGGGCCCGCCAUCGCUUCUUCAUAGUUCGAAGGUUCACCGUUGUCUAACAACAUGAUUUCCAGGACAGGGUUGCCGUACCACUCUGGUGCGGAAUGUGUCCUUGUGGACCUACGAAGUUCAGUAGCAACUUGAUCCGAAGUACCUUGAUCAUCAUCAUUAUUUUCCUCUUCAGUUGGUGUAGGCAUCACAGGAACAUUUUCCUGAGCUGCACUACUUUCCCGUUCAAGAGGUAGUACUUCAUCGAGUUCUACUUUCCUCCCACUUACUUCUUUCGAGAGAAACUCCUUUUCCAGAAAGGAUCCGUUCUUGGCAACAAAGAUCUUGCCCUUGGAUCUUAAGUAGAAGGUAUACCCAAUGGUUUCUUUGGGGUAUCCUAUGAAGACGCAUUUUUCCGACUUGGGUUCGAGCUUUUCAGGUUGAAGUUUCUUGACAUAAGCAUCGCAUCCCCAAACUUUUAGAAACGACAGCUUAGGUUUCUUCCCAAACCAUAAUUCAUAUGGUGUCGUCUCAACGGAUUUAGACGGUGCCCUAUUUAAAGUGAAUGUAGCUGUCUCUAGAGCGUAUCCCCAAAAUGAUAGCGGUAAAUCGGUAAGAGACAUCAUAGAUCGCACCAUAUCUAAUAGAGUGCGAUUACGACGUUCGGACACACCGUUUCGCUGAGGUGUUCCAGGCAGCGUGAGUUGUGAAACGAUUCCACAUUUUCUUAAGUGUGUACCAAAUUCGUGACUUAAAUAUUCUCCUCCACGAUCCGAUCAUAAGAAUUUUAUCUUUCGGUCACGUUGAUUCUCUACUUCAUUCUGAAAUUCCUUGAACUUUUCAAAGGUCUCAGACUUGUGUUUCAUCAAGUAGACAUACCCAUAUCUACUCAAGUCAUCAGUGAGAGUGAGAACAUAACAAUAUCCUCCGCGAGCCUCAACACUCAUUGGACCGCACACAUCGGUAUGUAUGAUUUCCAACAAGUUGGUUGCUCGCUCCAUUGUUCCGGAGAACGGAGUCUUGGUCAUUUUGCCCAUGAGGCAUGGUUCGCAUGUGUCAAAUGAUUCAUAAUCGAGAGACUCUAAAAGUCCAUCAGCAUGGAGCUUCUUCAUGCGCUUGACACCAAUGUGACCAAGGCGGCAGUGCCACAAGUAUGUGGGACUAUCGUUAUCAACUUUACAUCUUUUGGUAUUCACGCUAUGAAUAUGUGUAACACUACGUUCGAGAUUCAUUAAGAAUAAACCAUUGACCAUAGGGGCAUGACCAUAAAACAUAUCUCUCAUAUAAAUAGAACAACCAUUAUUCUCGAAUUUAAAUGAGUAGCCAUCUCGUAUCAAACGAGAUCCAGAUACAAUGUUCAUGCUCGAACUUGGCACCAAAUAACAAUUAUUAAGGUUUAUAACUAAUCCCGUAGGUAAAUGUAGAGGUAGCGUGCCGACGGAGAUCACAUCGACCUUGGAACCAUUCCCGACGCGCAUCAUCACCUCGUCCUUCGCCAGUCUCCACUUAUUCCGCAGCUCCUGCUGUGAGUUACAAAUAUGAGCAACGGCACCGGUAUCAAAUACCCAGGAGUUACUACGAGUACUGGUAAGGUACACAUCAAUUACAUGUAUAUCAAAUAUACCUUUAGUGUUGUCGGCCUUCUUAUCCGCUAAGUAUUUGGGGCAGUUCCGCUUCCAGUGACCCUUCCCCUUGCAAUAAAAGCACUCAGUCUCAGGCUUGGGUCCAUUCUUUGACUUCUUCCCGGCAACUGGCUUACCGGGCGCGGCAACAUCUUUGCCGUCCUUCUUGAAGUUCUUCUUACCCUUGCCCUUCUUGAACUUAGUGGUCUUAUUGACCAUCAACACUUGAUGUUCUUUCUUGAUUUCAACCUCUGCUGACUUCAGCAUAGAAAAUACUUCAGGAAUGGUCUUUACCAUCCCCUGCAUAUUGUAGUUCAUUACAAAGCUCUUGUAGCUUGGUGGGAGCGACUGAAGGAUUCUGUCAAUGACCGCCUCAUCAGGGAGGUUAAUAUUCAGCUGGGUCAUACGGUUGUGCAACCCAGACAUCUUGAGUAUGUGCUCACUGACAGAACUAUUUUCCUCCAUCUUACAACUAUAGAACUUGUCGGAGAUGUCAUAUCUCUCGACCCGGGCGUGAGCUUGGAAAACUAGUUUCAGCUCCUCGAACAUCUCAUAUGCUCCGUGAUGCUCAAAACGCUUUUGGAGCCCCGGUUCUAAGCUGUAAAGCAUGCCGCACUGAACGAGGGAGUAAUCAUCAGCACGUGUCUGCCAAACGUUCAAAUCGUCUUGCAGUGCUGGGAGAGCAGGUGGGUCACCUAACGGUGCUUCAAGACAUAUGCUUUCUUGGCAGCUAUGAGGAUGAUCCUAAGGUUCCAGACCCAGUCUGUAUAGUUGCUACCAUCAUCUUUCAGCUUGGUUUUCUCUAGGAACGCAUUGAAGUUCAUGUUGACAUGAGCGUUGGCCAUUUGAUCUAUAAGACAUAUUUUGCAAAGAUUUUAGACUAAGUUCAUGAUAAUUAAGUUCAUCUAAUCAAAUUAUUUAAUGAACUCCCACUCAGAUUUGACAUCCCCUUAGUCAUCUAAGUGUUACACGAUCCGAGUCGACUAGGCCGUGUCCGAUCAUCACGUGAGACGGACUAGUCAUCGUCAGUGAACAUUCUCAUGUUGAUCGUAUCUUCCAUAUGACUCGUGUUCGACCUUUCAGUCUCCGUGUUCCGAGGCCAUGUCUGUACAUGCUAGGCUCGUCAAGUUAACCCUAAGUGUUUUGCAUGUGUAAAAUUGUCUUACACCCGUUGUAUGUGAACGUAAGGAUCUAUCACACCCGAUCAUCACGUGGUGCUUCGAAACGACAAACUUUAGCAACGGUGCACAGUUAGGGGAGAACACUUCUUGAAAUUGUUGUAAGGGAUCAUCUUAUUUACUACCGUCGUUUCUAAGUAAACAAGAUGCAUAAAACAUAAUAAACAUCACAUGCAAUUAUAUAAAGUAGUGACAUGAUAUGGCCAAUAUCAUAUAGAUCCUUUGAUCUUCAUCUUCGGGGCUCCAUGAUCAUCUUGUCACUGGCAUGACACCAUGAUCUCCAUCAUCAUGAUCUCCAUCAUCGUGUCUUCAUGAAGUUGUCACGCCAACGACUACUUCUACUUCUAUGACUAACACGUUUAGAAAUAAAGUAAAGUAGUUUACAUGGCGUUCUUCAAUGACACGCAGGUCAUACAAAAAAUAAAGACAACUCCUAUGGCUCCUGCCGGUUGUCAUACUCAUCGACAUGCAAGUCGUGAUUCCUAUUACAAGAACAUGAUAUCAUACAUCACAAUAUAUCAUUCAUCAUUCAUCACAACUUCUGGCCAUAUCACAUCACAUGACAAUUGCUGCAAAAACAAGUUAGACGUCCUCUAAUUGUUGUUGCAUCUUUUACGUGGCUGCAAUUGGGUUCUAGCAAGAACAUUUUCUUACCUACGAAUAACCACAACGUGAUUUUGUCAACUUCUAUUUACCCUUCAUAAGGACCCUUUUCAUCGAAUCCGCUCCAACUAAAGUGGGAGAGACAGACACCCGCCAGCCACCUUAUGCAACUAGUGCAUGUCAGUCGGUGAAACCGGUCUCACGUAAGCGUACGUGUAAGGUUGGUCCGGGCCGCUUCAUCUCACAAUACCGCUGAAGCAAGAUAAGACUAGUAGUGGCAAGCAAGUUGACAAGAUCUAUGCCCACAACAAAAUUGUGUUCUACUCAUAGACCUAGCUCAUGAUGCCACUGUUGGGGAACGUUGCAGAAAAUUAAAAUUUUUCCUACGGUUUCACCAAGAUCCAUCUAUGAGUUCAUCUAGCAAUGAGUCAUGGGAGAGUGAUUGCAUCUACAUACCACUUGUAGAUCGCGUGCGGAAGCGUUCAAUGGAACGGGGUUGAUGGAGUCGUACUCGCCGUGAUUCAGAUCACCGAUGACCUAGUGCCGAACGGACAGCACCUCCGCGUUCAACACACGUACGGAGCGGAUGAUGUCUCCUCCUUCUUGAUCCAGCAAGGGGGAAGGAGAGGUUGAUGAAGAUCCAGUAGCACGACAGCGUGGUGGUGGAUGCAGCAGAACUUCGGCAGGGCUUCGCUAAGCAACUACGGAAGGAGGAGGAGGUGUUGCAGGGAGGAGGGAGGCGCCAGGGCUUAUAGGUGCGGCCACCCCUCCCUCCCCUCCCUUUAUAUAGGUUCAAGAGAGGGGGAGGGCGCAGCCUUGCCCCUUCCUCCAAGGAAGGGGUGCGGCCAAGAGGGGGGGAGGAGUCCAUCCUCCCCAAGGCACCUCGGAGGUGCCUUCCCCUCUUUGGACUCUCCCCUCUCCAAGUCUUCUUGGCGCAUGGGCCUCUUGGGGCUGGUGCCCUUGGCCCAUAUAGGCCAAGGCGCACCCCCUACAGCCCAUGUGGCCCCCCAGGGCAGGUGGACCCCCCCGGUUGACCCCCGGACCCCUGUCGGCACUCCCGGUACAAUACCGAUAAAGUGCGAAACUUUUUCGAUGACCAAAAUAAGACUUCCUAUAUAUAAAUCUUUACCUCCGGACCAUUCCGGAACUCCUUGUGACGUCCGGGAUCUCAUCCGGGACUCCGAACAACAUUCAGUUUGCUGCAUACUCGUAUUCAUACAACCCUAGCGUCACUGAACCUUAAGUGUGUAGACCCUAUGGGUUCGGGAGACACGUAGACAUGACCGAGACGGUUCUCGGGCAAUAACCAACAGCGGGGUCUGGAUACCCAUGUUGGCUCCCACAUGCUCCUCGAUGAUGUCAUCGGAUGAACCACGAUGUCGAGGAUUCGAUCAAACCCCGUAUACAAUUCCCUUUGUCAAUCGGUACGUUACAUGCCCAAGACUCGAUCGUCGGUAUCCCAAUACCUCGUUCAGUCUUGUUACCGGCAAGUCACUUUACUCGUACCGUAAUGCAUGAUCCCGUGACCAAACAUUUGGUCACUUUGAGCUCAUUAUGAUGAUGCAUUACCGAGUGGGCCCAGAGAUACCUCUCCGUCAUACGGAGUGACAAAUCCCAGUCUCGAUCCGUGUCAACCCAACAGACACUUUCGGAGAUACCUGUAGUGCACCUUUAUAGUCACCCAGUUACGUUGUGACAUUUGGUACACCCAAAGCACUCUUACGGUAUCUGGGAGUUACACGAUCUCGUGGUCUAAGGAAGAGAUACUUGACAUUGAAAAGCUCUAGCAAAACAAACUACACGAUCUUGUGCUAUGCUUAAGAUUGGGUCUUGUCCAUCACAUCAUUCUCCUAAUGAUGUGAUCCCGUUGUCAAUGACAUCUAAUGUCCAUAGUCAGGAAACCAUGACUAUCUGUUGACCAACGAGCUAGUCAACUAGAGGCUCACUAGGGACAUGUUAUGGUCUAUGUAUUCACACGUGUAUUACGAUUUCCGGAUAAUACAAUUAUAGCAUGAAUAAAAGACAGUUAUCAUGAACAAGGAAAUAUAAUAAUAAUGCUUUUAUUAUUGCCUCUAGGGCAUAUUUCCAACAGAAAUAUACCCAAGUGUAUCUUGAAUAAUCACCGACAAUCACCAAGCAAUACUUUCUACCCCCAAGACUAUCAAAGGAUGGAGGCCCAAAGAGGUCCAUGUGAAGGAGCUCCAAGGGUCUCUUCGAGUAGAUGAUAGUCGUGGGAGAGUGAGCCUUCUCAUGAAGCUUUCCUUCGAUACAAGCACUGCAAGCACGAUCUUUGGCAAAACUAACAUUUGUUAGUCCAUGGACAUGGUCCCCCUUGAGAAGACUUUGCAAAGAUCUCAUAUUGACGUGGGCUAAACGGCGAUGCCAAAGCCAUCCCACAUCAACUUUAGCCAUUAGGCAUAUCGCAGUCUUAGUUGGUCGCUCCGAAAAGUUAAUCACAUAGAGACCGUUCUCGACAUGCCCAACAAAGGCUACUUUAAGAGUCUUGCUCCACAAGAGGGCCACAGUAUCAAUAUCAAAGAAAGUGGCAAAGCCCAUGAGUGCAAGUUGACAAACGGAAAGUAAAUUGUACGCAAGGGACUUAACAAGCAUGACUUUCUCGAUCGUUAGAUCAUGAGAAAUGACAACCUUGCCAAGACCCAAUACCUUAGAAGAUGAGGCAUCACCCCACUCGACAUUGGUGGGCAUAGAUAGGAUAUUUUGCACGUCCACCACCAAGUCCUUUCUCCCGGUCAUAUGAUUUGUUGCUCCACUAUCGAGCAACCAUGAUCCCCCACCGGAAGCAAACACCUACAAGAGAUCAAUGCUUGGUUUUAGGUACCCAUUUAGUAAUGGGUCCUUUGAUGUUAGUAACAAGGGUCUUAGGAACCUAAAUAGACCAUUCAAUGUACUCAUAAGGAGAACCACCAAAUUUAGCAUAAACAUGCCCAUCACUAGCAUGGCACAACACAUAAGAUGGGUUAAAGUCACCAACUUUGUUGGAGGAGGUGGUUUAGCCCUUUUUGACAUCACCACCCUUCACAUUGUUCUUCUUAUCCUUAGGAGCACCCUCUCCCUCUUUCACAAAAGUUUGCUUGAGAGGAGGAGGUUGUUUGGUCUUGUCGUUCUUCUUCUUGUUCUUGGACUUGGGUGCGAACCCAACUCCCUCCUUCGCCACAACUUCCUUUUGAUUGCUCAAAAGGUCGUUGAGGUUCUUCUCUCCUUGAAUGCAUGUCACAAGGCCUUUCUCAAGUUGAUCCUUCAACUUGGAAUUCUCCCCCACAAGAUGCACAUGAUCACAACACGGGUUAGUGGCAUUUGCAUUAUCAAUUAAUACCAUAUGAGGAAAGGUGGCCUUUUCUUUGGUUAGCUUAACUUGGAGUUGAGCAUGAGACUCCUUGAGGCUAGCAUGAGCACCCUUCAAGACCUUGUGGGCCUUGUCAAGUAAAUAAAACUCCUCCUUGAGUCUAGCAUGGUCAACACCAAGUUUAGCCUUCUUGGAAGUUAGCACACGAGACACAACAAGAGCAUGAUUAAGAUCUUUCUUUAACUUAGCAUGGUCAUUGUUGUGUGACUCCUCAAGAGCCAAACGAUGCCCACGCUCUUCCUCAAGAGCAUUAGAGAGAUCCGAUAUCUCAUCGACAUAGUCACGACUAUGACCUUCCAUCUUAGAGAUGGUUUCUUCGUGAGCCUCGAUCAUGUCAUUGGCUUCACCAAGUUGUUCCAAGAGAGCAACAAAGUGCUUCUUGGAUUUGCCCUUGAGCUUACUCAUAAAAGACUCAAAUUCAUUCACUUCCUCAUUAGAUCCCUCACUUUCAUCAAUGCCAUCCGUCAAGGAGGGACUAGUAAUGAUGGUGGUUUUGAUGUUGGGGGUUACCUUGUUGGUGGCUUUAGCCAUGAGACACUUGGCGGUGAUGUUCUCAUUAGGUGAGUCGAAGAGGCACACCCGUGGAGUUGUGGCAAUGGCAACGGAGGCCAUGGCCAUGGCUUCAUUAUCUUCAUCAUCAUCGUCAUCCUCAUGGUAUUCUUCUUGAACCACCAACCCUCGAGUGGGAGCCUUUCUGGUGAAGUUGUUUUUGUUGGGGAAGGACUUGGCUUUGUCCUUUCAGAUGAGCUUGCCACCAUUGUCUUCCCGCUUCUCGUAAGGGAAAUCCACAAAAAAAUGGCUCACAUAGCCACAAUUGUAACAUGUUCUCACACGUUGCUUGCCCUUGAGCCCACUUAGUUGUUCUUGUUGAAGUUGGGCCUUGUGUUCUUCUUGCUCCAAAAUUGCCUUGACGCAAGAGCCAUGUGUUCAUGAUAGUCAUAUUUUGUAUCUUCGGGGUUGCUCUCCUCAUCUUCCUCUUCUUCCUCUUCUUCCACAAUAACCUUGGCCUUCAAGGCAAGGUUGGGCUUCUUUACCCUUUGUGAGCGCAACACUGCAUUGUCGGCGGUCUUGUCCAAGAUCCUCAUUGCCACAAACUCAUCCAACACUUCGUUUGUGGUCAAGGAGUGGAAGUCCGGUCUUUGACAGAUGACGGAGGACAAGGCCUUGUUGUAAGGCAUCAUUGCUUUAAGAAACUUGCGCUUGAUCCAAUUGUCAUUCGUGUCCUUGCUCCCAUGAUCUCGGAGUGAGACCGCAAGUUUGGUGACUCUCCAGAAUAGCUCACGAGGUUCUUCAUCUUAUUUCAUUGCAAACUCAUCGUCUUCAUCUUGCACCACUUCAUAGUUGGAGAGUUGAAUGCUUGCACUUCCCUUAUAGAGGGAACAACGCAAUGCCAUGCAUCUUUGGCCAUGGCGAAGGGUCGAAGAUGAGGGAGAUCUUUGGGAAGAACUGUAUCUUGAAUGAUGAAGAGAGCAUUCUCAUUGAAUUGAUGGUCCAUGGCUUCUCUAGGGGUGAAGUUGCUUCGGUCAUGUGGAUGAAAACCUUCUUCAAUGAUUCUCCAAAGGUUAGUAUUCACAUGAUUUAAAUGACGCUUGAAGCGAUACACCCAAGAAUCAAAGUCCUCAUUUUUCACAAUCUUAGGAGGAGGCCCGGCAUGAUUUAAAUGAGUAGAAGGAAUCAGUCCUCCAUAAACUGGAGGUGCCACAUGGGCAAAGAUGCCGGUGCCAUUUCUACCACUAGUAGAAGGUUCCUUUUCACUAGUAGCUUCCCCCUUGUCAGAGUUAGCAUCCGUCACCUUGUCAGUGGGUUCACCCACUUUCAAUGGCGAGGUAGAUAGUUUAAGUCCUUCUAAGAAUUUAUUAAACAUGCUUUCAACCUCGGUUGUCAUGGAGGUUUUCAAUGUCUCCAAAUCCACAUUGAACUCCUCACGGGACACCGUGGUUCCCCCAUCACCCGUAGACAAGAUCGGAUUCACACCGGAGUGCUCCUCCCCACCGUCUAUGGUGUCAACCAUACUCUUCGGACGGCAAAGUCCUUAAUAAAGAGAUGAGGCUCUGAUACCAAUUGAAAGAAUCGAUAUAGUUGACUAGAGGGAGGUGAAUAGGCAACUAACAUUUUUUAACUUUUCUUUACCAAAUUAAACUUUGCAUCAAAGUAGGUUGUCUAAAUAUGCAACUAGGUGAGCAACCUAUAUGAUGCAACAACAAUAAGUACACAAGCAAGCAAGGGAGACAACACAAAUAAACUAUCACAAGUAAAGGCACGAGAUAACCAAGAGUGGAGCCGAUGGAGACGAGGGUGUUUUACCGAAUUUCCUUCCUUUUGAGGGGAAGUACGUCUCCGUUAGAGCGGUGUGGAGGCACAAUGCUCCCCAAGAAGCCACUAGGGCCACCGUAUUCUCCUCACGCCCUCACACAAUGCAAGAUGCCGUGAUUCCACUAUUGGUGCCCAUAAAGGCGGUGACCGAACCUUUACAAACAAGGUUGGGGCUAUAUCCACAACUUAAUUGGAGGCUCCCAACGACACCACGAAGCUUCACCACAAUGGACUAUGGCUCCACGGUGACCUCAACCAUCUAGGGUGCUCAAACACCCAAGAGUAACAAGAUCCGCUAGGGGUUAGUGGGGGGAAUCAAAUUUCUCUUGGUGGAAGUGUAGAUCGGGGCCUUAUCAACCUAUCCUGAGCAAAUCAACAAGUUUGAUUGGAUAGAGAGAGAGAUCGGGCGAAAAUGGAACUUGGAGCAACAAUGGAGCUUUUGGGGGAAGAGGUAAGUCAACUUUGGGGAAGAAGACCCCCCUUAUAUAGUGGGGGUAACAAUCCAACCGUUACCCCCCAAGCAGUCCUGCAGCGAGUGGUACUACCGCUGGGGUGGGCGGUACUACCGCUGAGCCAGCGGUACUACCGUCCCACCUAGCGGCACUGCCGCGCAAAGGAGGGGAGCAAGGUCCUGGCCCCUGAGCGGUACUACCGUGGUGUUAAGGGCGGUACUACCGCUUGGGAGCGGUAUACCGCCUCUACUGCCGCAGCUAGUGCCGCAAAACCCGACAAGAGAAAAGGGGCACUCGAGUCGAGGCAGUAGGAGCACGGGGCCGCAGCGGUACUACGGCAGAAGGCUCCAAGCGGUACUACCGCUAAGGAGCGGUACUACCGCUUGUUGCGCUUGGGCGGUACUACCGCUGUGGCCCACGAUACUACCGCUGGGGCCAGACGAAGCAAGCAGGGAGGGGAAAGAGUUCUCCAUUGAAGCGGGAAGGUUCAGCGGGUGCGAUAAGGAUGUGUAAGUGUUGAUUCCACCCUAGCCUUACCAAAGUGGAUCCCCUCUUGAUAGUACGGUGAGUCCUAUGAAACUAGUCCACCAACAUAGAAACGAAAGAGCUGCACCGUCUUGAAUAAAACACCGAGGGGAGGGAAUCGUCUCAUGCCAAAGGAUGAAUCUCUAAAAAGCUCAACGCACAUGAUUAGUCCGCAAAAGCAUUGUCAUCAAUCACCAAAACACCUUAGGGAUAAAUAUGCCCUAACACCUGGAUAUGAUCAUAAUUAUUUGAAGUUCUAUUAAUUACCCAACAAUAGUUUGUUUACCCACCGUAUGCUAUUUACUCGAGAGAAGCCACUAUUGAAAUCUAUGGGCCCCGAGUCUAUUUUCUCUUCAAAUAUCUUCAGAUCUAUUUUGUUAUUUGCCUUCUUAUUUAUUUGCAUCUUUUAUUUUCAGAUCUAUAUUAUCAAAAAAACCAAAAAUACCUCACUGAAUUUUAUUUGUCGUUAUUCUAUUUGCAUCUAUCAUAUUAUAUCUUUACCAAUCUUUUACCCGGGAGGGAUUGACAACCCCUCUUACGUGUCGGGUUGCAAGUAUUGGUUCUUUGUGUGCAGGUACCGCUUACAUAGUGUUGCUUGGUUCUCCCACUGGUUCGAUAACCUUGGUUUCAUCACUAAGGGAAAUACCUACCAUAGUUGUGCUGCAUCAUCCUUUCGUAUAUAAUUCCGAUCAUGAUGAACUAGGUGCAUAGGAGAAAACUUCUGAUGAAACUCCAGGAGUAAGAUUCAGGUCAGGAAGUGGGGUGCUUAGAUCCUUUUGCCAAAUUUUGAUGAAAUCAAGGAUCUUCCUUGGAUCUAGCAUAAGAGGAACAUGGCUGCCUUUGGCUCUUGCAGCCUUUUGUUACCUAUCUCUGAUGAUUUCGGCAAGUUCAUCAUCAUUGGCCUCAUCAUCAGUUUCAUCAUCUGAUGGUUCUUUGAAAGUCACUUGCCGUGCCCAGAAGUGGUUUUCACCUUCAACAAUGUUGGACCACUUGAGGAAUGUGUAUGGGUGAUGUUGCUUGAAACUGCGUCCGUAUUUCCCCAAAGAGGAAGGGAUGAUGCAGUACAGCUACGGUAGUAUUUCCCUCGGUUGUGAAACCAAGGUAUCAAUCCAGUAGGAGAACCAAGCAACACUAUGUAAAUGGUACCUGCACAUAAAGAACGAAUGCUUCCAACCCGACACGUAUGAGGGGUUGUCAAUCCCUCCUCGGGUAACAACGCUAGAAAUUGUCAAGUUGACGGAAUAAAAUUUGUGGUAGAUUGGAUAAAACGCGAAAUAAAAUAAGUAAUAAAAAGUGCAGCAAGGUAUUUUUGGGUUUUUGGAAUAAUAGAUCUGAAAACAAAAGCGAAUAAAAAUAUAUCUCAAAGCAAAUAUGAUAAAGAAUAGACCCCGGGGACGUAGAUUUCACUAGUGGCUUCUCUUGAGAAAUAGCACACGGUGAGAAAUCAGAUUACUGUUGGGUAACUGAUAGAAGAUCGAAUAGUUAUGACGAUAUCCAAGGCAAUGAUCAAUAUAUAGGCAUCACGUCCAAGAUUAGUAGACCGACUCCUGCCUGCAUCUACUACUAUUACUCCACACAUCGACCGCUAUCCAGCAUGCAUCUGUGUAUUGAGAUCAUGGAGAAAUGGAGUAAUGCAAUAAGAACGAUGACAUGAUGUAGACGAGAUCUAUUCAUGUAGGAAUAGACCCAUCUUGUUAUCCUUAAUAGCAACGAUACAUGCGUGUCUUGCUACCCCUUCUGUCACUAGGAAAGAACACCACAAGAUCGAACCCAUCACAAAGCUCCUCUUCCCAUGGCAAGAAAAAUUGAUCUAGUUUGCCUAACUAAACCAAAGAUUCAGAGAAGAAAUACGAGGCUAUAAAUAAUCAUGCAUAUAAGAGAUCAAAGAAGGCUCGAAUAAUAUUCAUGGAUAUAGAUCUGAUCAUAAACUCAAAGUUCAUCGGAUCCCAACAAACACACUGCAAAAAGAGUUACAUCAAAUAGAUCUCCAAGAGACCAUUGUAUUGAGAAUCAAAAGAGAGAGAGGAAGCCAUGUAGCUACUGCCUACGGACCCGUAGGUCUAUGGUGGACUACUCACGCAUCAUCAAAGAGGCACCAAUAAGGAUGAUGAACCCCUCUGUGAUGGUGCUCGAUUGGAUCUCGUGAUUCUGGAACUUGCGACGGCUAGAAUUGUGUUUUGUCGACUCCCCUCUGGUACUUCUUUGGCACACUAGGUGUCUUCUAGUCUGGAAAAAAUCUCCAAAAGUUUUACUAUGUUUGGACUCCAUUUAGUACUGAUAUUCUGCGAAGUAAAAAACAAGCAAAGAACAACAACUAGCACUAUGGCACUAUGUCAAUAGGUUAGUCCCAAAAAAAUAUAUAAAGUUGCUAUAAAAUGGUUGUAAAACAUCCAAGAAUGAUAAUAUAACAGCAUGGAACAAUCAAAAACGAUAGAUACAUUGGAGACGUAUCAGCAUCUCCUAGCUUAAUUCUUGCUCAUCCUCGAGUAGGUAAAUGAUAAAAACAGAAUUUUUGAUGUGGAAUGGUGCCUAAAAUGUUCAUCACAUAUUCUUUUCUUUUGUAUCAUGGACAUUUGGACUUUUAUAUGGUUCAAAGCAAUAGUCUAGUUUUGACAUGAAGAUUUCAAUACUCAAGCAUAUCAACAAGCAACCAUGUCCUUCGAAAUAUCAACACUGAAGAAAGUUAUCCCUAGCCCAUCAUGCUUAAUCAAUUAUACAUUCAUGAAACACACUCGCAUAUUAGCUACAUCCAAUGCUCAAGUAGUAUAAUAGUGCUCCCUAAUUGGUGCUUUAUACAAGAAGAUGGAGACUCAAAUAAAAUAAAAAUUGCAUAAAGUAAAUAGAUAGUCCCUUCACAGAUGGAUGUAGGAAUUUGUAGAGGUGCAAGAGCUCAAAGCUUAAAUUGAGAGAUAAAAUUCCCAACACUUUCCAUGCUAGAUAUAUCAUAGGCGGUUCCCAAACAGAAAAUAAAGUUUAUUCCUUUUUCCACCAUUCUUUCACAAUCCAUGGCUAGUCAACACUUUCCAAGGAAUUUAUUAUUUGACAACAUAAAGUAAAUUUCUUUUCAUUUCGGGACUGCGCAUCCCUAUUACAGCCAUACUCUCGUGCAAUGACAAGUGAAUAAACAUCAUCUUGAGAAUAACACAUCUAGCAUGGAAAAUAUUGGCCACCCCCUGUUGCUUCAUGAGCGGUACGAGCACACAAAAAGGAAAUUCAUUUUGAAAACUAGAGAUGGCAGAUACAAAUUUUCUUAGAAUGACACGGAAAUACCGCAUAUAGGUAGGUAUGGUGGACUCAUAUGGCAAAACUGGGUUUAAAGAUUUUGGAUGCACAAUUGGUAUUUCUACUUAUGACAAGUGGAGGCUAGCAAAUAGAUUCAGAAGCAACCAACCCAGGAACGAAAAAUCACAUAAGUGAGCAUUAAGCAUAACUAACACUGAAUAAUGCACCAAAAGUAGGAUGUAAUUUCAUUGCAUAACUAUUAACUUUCGUGCUUGCAUAGGGAAUCACAAAUCUUCACACCAAUAUUCUUACAAAAGCAUAAUUACUCACCAACAUGACUUACAUAUCACUAUCAUCAUAUCUCAAAACUAUUACAAAGAAUCAAGUUUAUUUUUUCCAAUGAUAUGAAAGUUUUUAUUAUAUCCCUCUUGAAUAUCUAUCACUUUGGAACUAAUUUCAUAUGUGUAAAUUGCCUUUGAUAAGCUCAAACAAAUUUAAGUGAAGAACAUGAGCAUAAAAAAUUUCUUCUCUCAAAAUAAUAUAGGUGAAGCAUGAGAGAGUUUCUUCAAAAAUUUCCUAACUCCCAAAUAAAUCUAAGUGAAAUAUGAGAGCAUUUCUUCAAAAAUAUUAAAGCACACCGUGCUCAAAAAGAUAUAAGUGAAGCACUAGAGCAAUUCCAUAGCUCAAAAAAUUGAAGUGAAGCAUAAAGAGCAAUUCGAACAAAUCAUAUCAUAAUUUUGGCUCUCUCAAAUAGGUGUGUCGAACAAGGAUAGAUGACACAAACUAAAAAGAAAAACAAGGGAAGACUCAUAUAAUACAAGACGCUCCAAGCAAAACUCAUGAUAUAUGAUGAAUAAAAAUAUAGCUCCAAGUAAAAUACCGAUGGUCGUUAGAAGAAAGAGGGGAUGCCUUCAGGGGCAUCCCCAAGAUUAGUUGCUUGGUUCUCCAUGAAUAAUAACUUGGCGUGCCAUGGGGCAUCCCCAAGCUUAGGCUCUUUUCACUCCCUAUUCCUUCAUCCAUCGUGAUCGCACCCAAAACUUAAAAACUUCAAUCACACAAAACUCAACAAAACCUUCGUGAGAUGCGUUAGUCUAACAAAGCAAAUCACCACUCUAAAUACUAUUACAAACCAAUUAAUAUUUUAUUUUUGCAUUAUACCUACUGUAUUCUAACUUUACCAUGGCUUAUACCCCCCGAUACAAUCCAUAGAUUGAUCAAAAUAAGCACACAACGCAAAGAAAAAAGGAUCUGUCAAAAACAGAAUAGUAUGUAGUAAUAUGGAAACUUCGUAUACUUUUGUAACUCCGAAAAUUAUGAAACAUUAGGACAACGUAGGAACUUUGUAUAUCAAUCUUGUGUAAAAAAUUCAGAAUUUUAUCACAUUUAUGUGAUUUUAAACAAUUCUGCUACUGGGUGCAAAAGUUUCUGUUUUUUAACAAGAUCAAAUCAACUAUCACCAAACAUGAUCCCAAAGGCUUUACUUGGCACAAACACUAAUUAAAACAUAAAAAGCAAUUAUAACAGUAUCAUAAUUGUGUGAACGCAUAGAAAUAAAAAGAAAAAGAUAAAAAAUAUAUUUUAUUCAUUGGGUUGCCUCCCAACAAGCUCUUUAUUUAUAGCCAUUAAGACAUGCUUAAAAUUUCAAUGAUGCUCACAUGAAAGAUAAGAAUUGAAGCACAAAAAGAGCAUCAUGAAUCAUAUGACAAACACAUUUAAGUCUAACAUACUUCCUAUGCAUAGGAAUUUUAUAAGCAAACAAAUUAUCAAGACAAGAAACAUCUAACAUAUGCAAAGAAAAGGAAUAAAACAUUGACGAUCUCAACAUAACGAGAGGUAAUUUAGUAACAUGAAAAUUUCUACAACCAUAUUUUCCUCUCUCAUAAUAAUUACAUGUAGGAUGAUAAUCAAUUCAACAAUGUAAUUGUCACAUAAAAUAUUCUCUUCAUGAUCCACAUGCAUGCAGAGUUGACACUCUUCCAAAAUAGUGGGAAUAUCAUAAAAUAAAGUCAUGACCUCUCCAGGCCCACUUUUAUCAAAAUUUCAUAACCUUGAACACUCUCCAAAUAUGUGGGAUUAUUUUUAGCUAAAGUUGACACUCUUCCAAACCCGCUUUUAAUAUUAUCGAAAGGAUUUACAUCAUGAGGUUUAAAUAAAUUUUCAAGAUCAUAAGAAUCAUUAUCACCCCAAUCAUGAUCAUUGCAAUAAGUAGUGGACAUAACAAAACAAGCAUCCCCAAGCUUAGGGCUUUGCAUAUCACUAACAUAAUUCACAUUAAUAGAAUUUAUAAUAACAUCAUUGCGAUCAUGCUUUUCAUUCAAGGAGCUAUCAUGAAUCACUUUAUAAAUCUAUUCGUUUAACACUUCAUCACAAUUUUCAGAUUCAUGAAUCUCAAGCAAAACUUCAUAGAGAUAACCUAGUGAACUCAAUUCACUAUCAAUUGGGCCAUCAUAAUUGGAUCUUUUUAAAAGAUUAUCAAGUGGAUGAGGAUACAUAUCAAUAGAAUUUUAGCAAGCAAAGAUGCAAGCAAGUAGGAGACACAUGGCAAGACAAGCAAACAUAAGAUCAAACGAGAAAAAGGCAAACAAAAAGAGGGCGAAUAAAACGGCAUAUUUUUGUGAAGUCGGGGAGAUGAAAACAAGAGGCAAAUGGAAAAUAGUGUAAAUUGCAAAGAUAUGAUAGUUGUGAUUAGGAACCUGAUAGUUGUUGAUCAUGUCUCCCCGGCAACGGCACCAGCAAUUCCUUUUGAAGUUGCUUGAAACUACGUCGGUAUUUCCCCAAAGAUGAAGGGGUGAUGCAGUACAGCUACAAUGUGUAUUUCCCUCAGUUGUGAAACCAAGGUAUCAAUCCAGUAGGAGAACCAAGCAACACUAUGUAAACAGUACCUGCACAAAAAGAACCAAUACUUGCAACCCGACGCGUAUGAGGGGUUGUCAACCCCUCCUCGGGUAACGGCGCCAGAAAUUGUCAAGUUGACGGGAUAAAAAUUGUGGUAGAUUGGAUAAAUAGAUCUCGAUAAAACACAAAAUAAAAUAAGUAAUAAAAAUUGCAGCAAGGUAUUUUUGGGUUUUUGGAUUAACACAUCUGAAAAUAAAAGCAAAUAAAAAUAGAUCUGAAAGAAAAUAUGAUAAAGAAUAGACCAGAGGGUCGUAGAUUUCACUAGUGGCUUCGCUCCAGAAAUAGCACAUGGUGGGUAAACAACUUAUUGUUGGUAAAUUGAUAGAAGAUCGAAUAAUUAUGACGACAUCCAAGGCAAUGAUCAAUAUAUAGGCAUCACAUCCAAGAUUAGUAGACCGACUACUUCCUGCAUCUACUACUAUUACUCCACACAUUGACAUCUAUCCAGCAUGCAUCUAGUGUAUUAAGUUCAUGGAGAAAUGGAGUAAUGCAAUAAGAACGAUGACAUGAUGUAGACGAGACCUCUUCAUGUAGGAAUAGCCCCCAUCUUGUUAUCCUUAAUAGCCAAGAUACAUGCGUGUCUUGCUGCCCCUUCUGUCACUGGGAAAGAACACCACAAGAUCAAACCCAUCACAAAGCACCUCUUCCCAUGGCAAGAAAAAUCGGUCUAGUUUGCCUAACUAAACCAAAUAUUCAAAGAAUAAAUACGAGGCUAUAAAUAAUCAUGCAUAUAAGAGAUGAAAGAGGACUCAAAUAAUAUUCAUGGAUAUAGAUCUGAUCAAAAACUCAAAGUUCAUCGGAUCCCAACAAUCACACCGCGAAAAGAGUUAUAUCAAAUAGAUCUCCAAGAGACCAUUGUAUUGAGAAUCAAAAGAGAGAGAGAGAGAGAGAGAGAGAGAGGAAGCCAUCUAGCUAGUGCCUACGGACCCUAGGUCUAUGGUGGACUACUCACACAUCAUCGGAGAGGCACCAAUGAGGAUGAGAACCCCUCCGUGAUGGUGUUAGAUUGGAUCUCGUGAUUCUAGAAAUUGCAGAGGCUUGAAUUGUGUUUUGUCGACUCCCCUGUGGUACUUCUUUGGCCCAAUGGGUGUUUUCUGGUCCAAAAAAUCUCCAAAAAGUUUCACUGCAUUUGGACUCCGUUUGGUACUGAUAUUCUGCGAAGUAAAAAACAAGCACAAAACAACAACUGGCACUGAGCACUAUGUCAAUAGGUUAGUCCCAAAAAAUCAUAUAAAGUUUCUAUAAAAUUAUAGUAAAACAUCCAAGAAUGAUAAUAUAACAUGAUGGAACAAUCAAAAAUUAUAGCUACGUUGGAGACUUAUCUAUGGGAUGAGGAAGUUGUAGAUGCCCCUGAGGCAAUUGAGAAUCCAGCAGUCCACUGACAUGUUGCAAGAUGCACAGGUGUUGAGAACAUGGUGGCAACAUCUGAGGAUUUUGCAGCAACAGAGGGCAUAGGAGCUGUCCUUGAGGAAGUUGCCCAAGGAAUUUGCUUUGAGGGCUUUGUAGUUGAGGGACUUGGCCGUGAGGGCAUUGAGCUUGAAGACUUUGGCUUCACAGUUGAUUUCUUCUGCAUGGCCUUCUUUGGUGAAGUCCUACUAGCAGACGCCUCGGCAACAACAGCUUGAGAAUCCUAUUGAAUUUCUUCACAGAUUCUGCAGCCGCUUUUCGAAGCUUUGCUUGGCGCUUGGCCCAUUCUUUAGUAAAUUCCUCACCACGCCUGAUGCUGGUAGGAUCAACCUCUUGAUCAUCAGCUAGAGGUGGUCUUGGGCAUGGAGGAUUUACAGCAAAUUUCUUCAUGUACUUUGGUGUAACAUAAUGAUAUUCCUUCCAUUCUUUAGCCCAUCUCCUCACUAUUCUCUGAAUGCGCGUCUUACGCUGCUUUUUGGUCUCUUGCCCAUGAGUAUCUUCAUCAGGAGUACAAUAUUCAUCAUAUAGAUCCUCAGGGAUUUCAAGUGUUGUGUUUGUCUCGGGCUUCUUUCCUCCUUUCUGAGGUCUUUUCCUUUCUGCCAUUUUCCUCACUUAAGGAUUUUGAACUUUUGAAGAUUCUGAGAAAGUAUGCAAUUUUUCUUUAAAGAACGCUGCAGAUGAGUUAAGUUGAUGAGAACCUAGAGAUUCAUCAGCAGACAUUUGUACCUGUGAACAAAGUAUUGGUGCGAAGAAUUUGAAGAGGUCAUAUGUGUUCUCAGAAUUUUUUCAACAAAUAUCAGGUUUGAGGAAUAUGACCAUAGAUGUCUUGAAAAAUUUCACUAAGUAUUCUUAACCCAGGUUCCAGAGUUGAACAAAUAUGAUAAUCCACACAAUUGAGGAAUCUUGAGGAAAAUCAGAGCUUAAAGAAAUAAGUCAAGGGAAAGAAGCUUUGCGGCGUUUAAGUAGAUUUUUGAAGAAUAAAGACCUUUAGAGGAUUUUGUGAAAUCAUAAGGAUCAAAGAAGGGCAGUAAAAUCAUACUUUAAUUACCCUUUAUGAAGAACACGACAAACUGAGAGUUAGAACUAGGAAGUUCGUCUGUCCAGAUCUCUCACGCCCUAACUCGGCAGUGGGAGACAGCUGCGGAAGCGACAGAGUGAAGAUUUCCGCGGUCGGUGCGAGUACGACGGCCUGGAGGUCGAGGUAGUAUAGCUUUUCCUCUCCGGCGGUGACGAAGCUUAGCAACGCCGCUAGGUUAGAUCUCGAGUGAGGAGAAGUGAGGUCGAGCGGAGUAAAUGAAGAAGUGAAAGGGGAGGCGUAUUUAUAGUGCAGGUGAAAAACUAAACGCCAGAAGAAUUUGCACAUUCAUACCCCUAACCCUUGCUAUCCUAUCGACAUGUGUCACCCACGUACUGAGUUGUUGAGAUCAUGGGGGGAUUGUGGGUGAGUAUUAUAAUCCUGUCGUGGGAAGUGGGAUAGGUUUGAGCGGCAACUUCAAAAAAAUUGAUAUGAAAGUUUUAAUAUUUCGUUCGCAAAUUCUUCAGUUGACAAGGAUGCAAUGAAGACUUUGAACGGGUUUCAAAUAGAACACAUAUGAAGAAUUUGUGAACAGAAUGGGUUGAGUUUGGCAUAGAGGGGGAACGGGUUCGAUCACAUUCACUUGAAGAAUUAGCAAUAAGAGAAUGCUAUUGGGGACAUCGAAAACUCAUAUNNNNNNNNNNNNNNNNNNNNNNNNNNNNNNNNNNNNNNNNNNNNNNNNNNNNNNNNNNNNNNNNNNNNNNNNNNNNNNNNNNNNNNNNNNNNNNNNNNNNNNNNNNNNNNNNNNNNNNNNNNNNNNNNNNNNNNNNNNNNNNNNNNNNNNNNNNNNNNNNNNNNNNNNNNNNNNNNNNNNNNNNNNNNNNNNNNNNNNNNNNNNNNNNNNNNNNNNNNNNNNNNNNUAUAUAUAUCGUCACCCUGGGUGAGGAAUAGUUAUUCCUCACCCCAGCCAGCCUUUGCACCCCCUUCCACCCAGUUCGCACGCUUUCAUUCUGGCCGAUGUAAGAUUCUUUGCAUGCAGAAGUAAUCUUAUAGUGUGGAACGGACGGACAUCAGAGACAUGCACGCACCUACCCUGCACGUCCGUAACUUUAUGACCAACAGACUAGGUAAAUUACCACUAUGCUACACUGCUCUACGGCUCUACCCGUAACUUUAUGUCUCUCUAUCGUCGAUCUUGUUUAGUUUCUUCUAAGACAUCGAUCAAUUUUGAACGGGCUCUACUGGAUAUUUCUAUAUAACCAGUCAACUUUUUGGACAAAGGAAAUCUUGCAGUUAAUUCCUAAGCCAGUAAGAAAUAUAGAAUCCAACACAAACGAGAUACACAUUCUACUAAUUCAGCUGAGAGUAGGAAUUUGCCAGCGUAGGAAAUUUGAGAGCAGACGUAAACAAGAGUAUCACCAAUGCAUGGUCCACGGAUUGAAUGUACUGUCAGCAUAGGAAUUAAGAUGUGUAACGAUGGCCAAAUGUAUUAAAUUACACGGCAUAUUCCAAAUUCUUUUGUUACAUUAUUUCCAUUAAACGAUCCUGAAGGUCAUCUCAUCAGCCUCCAUGGUGGCUGACUGACUCCGAUAUCAAGAUUCUACAUUAUUACAGGAUAAAGGACAAAGUAAAUAGUUGAUUGGAUGAACGGCAGCCAAAUUUUGCUUCAUUUCUUCAUAUCCAAACGCAUCUCGGGGGGAUAGUCAAUGAGGCAUUUAUCCAUGGUAAGCAUUGUAGAAACAUUCAUCUCACAGAGUCACAAUUGCAGGGACAACCAUAGUCUUCAACCUCUUCCAUUUAUCACAAGAUAAAUUCCUUUUCUUUGACAUAAUUAAUGGAGGCAAUAUCUGAGGAUAAUCCCAUACGUAUGAAAGAUGCACACGUGACGAUUUAUAAAAUGGAUUCUAUAAACCAUCGAGUUCUUCAAUUUCAGCGAUGGUAGAGGAUGCUCGACCAAGUACGCUUAGUCCCGUUCUACACCUCGCCUUGGUCGCUGUUGAUAGAUUUUUACUGUAGACGGUGCUACAUGCCAAAAAUGCUAAAGUUGCCUUUUCAUGAUUUAUAGAAAGGAACACCGAAGCCGGUUGCUUACAUGAAACCCAUGCUCGUACUUGAAGAAACUUAGUUUCCAUUCUGAACCCUUUGUUCAACACGACAUCAUGUGGGGAAUAUACUGAGAAUCAGCUAUAUAAUAUUUAGAAAGUACAAACUAAGAUGAAAUAAAUAAUUACAAAGUUAUACAUGAAAGAAGAUGCUACAGUUUUACCUUUUCCCUCAUUCUAGUUGGGACGUUCAGGGACAAUGCGAAUGUUCAAUAAUAAAAUUCAGUUGGACAGAGAAGAUGAGAUUCAGCUUUUGAGAAACAGGGUGUACUGUCAUCCACAACAAAAUAAAGAUAAUGAAUAACACUGCAACAUAAAACAUAAUAACAGCGCCGUGUUCCAAGAAAGCAACCUCAGGAAACCACAAAACAGACGUGAUGUGAACAAAUAUUUUAUAGGCAAGCAGAUGGGCAUAUUUACUGAUUUUGAGAACUCUCCCAUGGUACAAUGCACACAAAUAGAACUCGCUUCUCCAUAAUAACAUAAAGUUGAAGGAGGGAUCUUCCGCCUUUAACCUUGUUUCUUUUUCAUAUUUACUGAUUUUUAAGCAAGACUGAUUAUUUCUGAAUACCAAGCAUGUAAGAUUAUGAUGCAUUUUCUGGUUGACAUUGCAACUGGCAAUUAUUAAGCUUUUAUAGAAAAUAGGUGUUUAUUCAUUUAUGUACCAGUAACAGUCAUGAAGAAAACCACGCAACAUAGUGAAGGUCCUUUCCAUACUUGUGUAGACAACUUUAGCUUGAAAAGCUACAGUGCACAUAUGUGAAUAGGUUGCGCCAGUAAGCUUCAACAGAUGCACAUUACUACUACAUAGUGAAGGUCCUUUCCUCAAUUUUUAAAUCACCUAACAUAACAUAACACAACACAAGAACUGAGAGGAGGAGAAUCUGGCAGAGAUGGAAUGAAAUCUCAUAAACCUAGAUUUCCGUACAAGGAAGAGGAAGAGGAGGAGGAUGCAGGUAUCCUUACAAGAGAACAAAGCAUCCACCGUCAUAGUCGACGGUGUCGCUGAUGGUCGUGUAUGGAAAGGGAUAGGUGGGCAGCAUCGUACGCCUCGGCUCGAAACAAGUACUAAGCUUGUAGCAUAGAUAUGGCCAAAACAAAUAAAUUUGGGACUAAGAUCAAAGCCGAAAACACAAUGAUUCGCCUCUGCAUAUAUGGGGACGUAAUAUAUGUAAAUUCAGAUAACUAAAUUCCGUACUAAAUGUAACCAAAUUGGAGCAAGUACUUGCCAUGGGAGAAUAAAUUGACAUACACUCAUCUAAAUCGAUGGAGAGGGGCUCCGGCGGUGAAGACAUGGUUGCCGACCAUCGUGGUGGGAGGAGAUGCAGACUGCAUCAAGAAGCAUGCCAAUGGCCACCGUAACCUGACGCCGAUGAACACCAACGACACUAUACUGCGAACCCCCAUCUUAUUGCAAAAAUUAGAGUGGUCCUAAGAAAAAUACAUACUAAUAUCCACAGAAAAGCUAACUAAAAUCAAUUCCUCAUAUGUGCAUUUCCUGAAACAAUGAGCCUAAACUCCAAACCCAUUCAAACCAAUAUUGUUAAUUAAAUUCGAAACAUGUAAAAAGUUGAAUGGUUUACCCUAGGCCUAGCUGACUAAAACAAAACUACAAAUCUUCAUCAUGGACCCAGAGCUUAAGCACUUUAAACAACAAACCAAAUAAUCUCCCUACAUCACCUUACUUCUACGUGACAAAAUCUUAGCCAUUACGGAGCAUUUGAUGCUUCCAAUCACAGAGCAAAAAAAUUCUACACAAGCGCUGCUCCAUCUCAAUGAUUGAUCUCAACAUGGACUGAUGGACUGGAACAGACAGCAGAGAGAAAAUUCCCAGGCUAAAAAUACAUUCGCCCAAACUAUUUGGAGAUAGAAAACAAACAAGAAUCUGAAAUUUUUCCUAAGACAAACAAGAAUCGGAUUACCUCUUCGGGCAGGACGUACAGUCGUGAUCUGUCCAGUCUGCAGCCUCCGCAAAAACUGAACCAAUUUAACAAUCCAUAAAGAACACGGCGAAGCAAAACGAAGUGAAAAUUGACUGAAGCUGAAAGGAUUAGGAUCGGGGCUGCUCACCUCCGCCAGUGCUCUCUUCACCUGUACACAUCCAACCAAAUUAAAGCCAGAUCUAGCGAAAAUGUUGUCGGUGUUGGCAAAGGGAGGCACACAAGCCACGGUCACCCACCACAGCACCGCCGCUCGCCGCCCCCUUGAAUCGGCAGCGCCGCCAACAUUGAUGCGAGGCGCCGCUCACCACGCAGCCCGCGCUUGCCUGCCCGUCAACCACCGCACCCUCGAGCCCAGCAGCCGCCGCUCACCAUGAAGUAUUCACCGUCGAAUCUCGAACGGCUCCCAUCGCCUGAAUGAGGAGGUGGGAAGGUUUUUUUCCCAGCAAGUUAGUCCCACGACCAGCUAACCGUGUCAGUUUAUCUGGAGAGGUCACGUCUGCUUCCUAGGAAAAAAGGUAUUUUAAAAGAAAGUAAGGGCAAAUGUAAAUUACCUGUCUGACGGGCAAAAGUUACGGUGAGGCAAGUGGGAAUGGAGGUGCCAUCCGGCAUCGAACGACUGGCGUGAGCAAUAAACUAUUCUUCACCCAGGGUCAUUAAUAGAGUUAUAUAUACGGUCUAUUCUGCUAAUAUUAGCAGAAUAACUAUUCUGCACACUACUUUCGUACUGCACGCUUAACGCAAGUGCACGUCAUUCUUUGAACCAAGUGUGCUGCAGUACUCAUACGAGUGAACUUCUCAUCAGAAAAAACUGCACGCGUUAUUUUUUCGGUACUGUUUUCGCUCUAAUUUUUUAACCGCUUAUCAGAAUGAGGCAUGUAAUAUACUGUUGAAAAGCUAUGUAUUAGGCGCAACUUUGACAUGUUGAACACUUUUCGAGAUUCCACACGGUUUAAGAGCAGUUUUGAAAAUGGUGCGGCGGAUGACGAGUGGAAGCGAGCGUUUUUUCGCGUUUUUUUCUGAACCGCUUGUCGGAAUGAAGCAAAUGAUACGCUGUUGGAUAGAUAUCUUCGAGGCGCAUCUUUUUCAUAUAUAAAUCUUUCUCUAAUUCGUUAUGAUCUAAGAGCAGUUUCAAAUUUACUAAAUCGCAGAAUUUCUGUUUUUCAAGUUUUUUAAAAUUUUCGGUACUGUUUUCACUCCAGUUUUUGAACCAUUUGUCGAAACGAGGCGUGUGAUACGCCGUUGAAAAGCUACGAACGAGGAGCAACUUUCAUAUCUUGAAAUAUUUUUGAGAUUCCAUACGGUUUUAAGUUAAUUUUGAAAAUGGUGCAGCGGACAAUGAGUGGCAGCGGCUGUUUUUUGCAAAAAUUUUGCAAACCGCUGGUCGGAAUGAUUCAAACGAUACGCUGUUGGAAAGAUAUCGAUGAUGCGCAACUCUUUCAUAUAGAACACUCUCUCUAAUUCUUUACGGUUUAAGAGGAAUUUCGAAUUUACCGAAAUGCGGACACUCUGUUUUUCGCGACACACAAAUCGACGUGGGUACUUCAUCCGACUAAAAACCGCACUGCAUCGGAUGGAAAACUGCACUGCAUCAUACGGGUAAGAGAACUGCAUGGUUUUGUUCAGAAUGAAAACCGCACUGCAUCGAACGGGCAAGUGAGCUGCAUAAUUUCUUUUGUCGGGCGUUAUUUUUCUCAUACGAGUUUUGUUGUCUUUUUUUUAUGAACGAGAGUGGACCGCAGAACUAGGGCAAGUGAACCACAUCAUAUAUCGAAGUGGACCGCAUUACCAUCUCAUUAUUUCACUAAAUUUUUAGCACAUUCAUGUUGGGCACAAGUGAACGACAUCACUCUAAAAAAUGAACCACAUUCAAGUACCAAAUGCACUGCAUGUGUUGAUGUAGUUGACUAAAUUUUGAUACACAAGAAACAAAUUGCACUUCAUACAGAGAGGUAAUGAAACUUCAUUCUUUUUACGCAAACGGUACACACGAGACACCAAAUUCAGCAUACGAGACACUUGAUUUCUUCGUCACACGAUGAGCUAGCGCACUGCAAGCCCAUGUUUCUGAACCGCAUGAGGUGCCCUAAACUAUAGUGCACUAAACAUACAAAGAAAACACAAACCCGUCACACAAAUAGAUGGUGCUUCCUGGGAAAGAACAUGCCAAAGCACUGCAAAACACUUCCUGCACCCAUGCACCAGACUGCAAGUGCACCAUAACGAAACCACAUGAAUACAUUGCUCAAACUGCAACAAAAUCAUACAUAUAGACAUGUAGCGAACAUCACUUCAAGAUUACUCCUAGAAGCGAACAUCACUUCAAGAUUACGAACAAAACAAAAAUAAACCACAACAUCCCGUCAAAAGACAAAGUUAGUUUCCCGCAGCCGCGAGGGUGAGCCGCCCAUGAACCACCACAAAAUGAGAAGGAGGGCACUGCAGUAGGACCAGAGUGCACCACUGCCCCCACCGGAGUGCACUGCAGCAGGACCAGAGUGCACCACUGGCCCCACCGGAGUGCAAUGCGGCUCCGAACUCCACCAUCCGAGCUGCUCACACCCCUGAUGUGGGAUGCAUCCUGCAACAAAAAGCGGUCGCCGGCGCACUGCCGCGGAAGAAAACUGCACACGCCCAAGCGCACUGCUACACACACCCAAGCGCACUACUGAACAACGGUACAGCUAACCUACACACGCCACCGGAUUGCAAGCAUGGUCGCCAAUGGACUGGACAUCCAAUCGCACCGCACUGCGCCCCAAUAGUGCCCAAGUGAAAUCAGAAAAAACAACAAAAAAACAAUCAAUGGGGAGGAGAGGACGCUCAAGGCCGGUGGUUGCAGCGCCGUGGAUGACGACGAGGGAGGACGGCAGAGGCAAGCGGUGGCCGGCGAACCUGCAUGAAGACGGGGCCGCGAACAAGCUGCACUGGUGCCUCAACUGAGCUCCAUGAGGUGGGCGGCGCCAGAGCACCAUGGAUGGCGCAGAUGAGGCCCUAGCCGGAGAUCGCCACGAGGAGGAGAGAGCUCGUCCUCGACGUUUUCGGGUGGGGGCGGUGCUGCUCAGGGGAGGGAAGAACUUGGAUCCAACAAGGGAUCCAUGGGUCCGUGGCCAGUGAAGAUGUGGUCGGGGUUGGAGUUUGCAUCGGUCGGGUGCGGAGAAGAAGAAGGCGUGGCGGUGCCGGCCACCAUCACAAGGGAACGGCGGAGGAGCUCAUGCACUGCUCGAUGCCGGAUCCAGCCACCGGCGGGCAUCUACCCCGAGCACAGAUCGAGGCGGCAUUCAGGUGAAGGAAUGGGGAGGGGAGACUGCCGAUGGGAAAGCCUGGCCGGAUCCAGCCGGGGCUGUGCGCGGUGGAGGUGGGGGUGCCUGUGGUGGCUAUGGCCACCGUGGAGUGGGACNNNNNNNNNNNNNNNNNNNNNNNNNNNNNNNNNNNNNNNNNNNNNNNNNNNNNNNNNNNNNNNNNNNNNNNNNNNNNNNNNNNNNNNNNNNNNNNNNNNNNNNNNNNNNNNNNNNNNNNNNNNNNNNNNNNNNNNNNNNNNNNNNNNNNNNNNNNNNNNNNNNNNNNNNNNNNNNNNNNNNNNNNNNNNNNNNNNNNNNUGGGAUGGGUGGGAGGUGGAUCGAGAGGAAGGUGGGGUGGGUCGUGGGGAAUGGGUCUGGGAGUUUUAUUUUGUUCAACUUUGUUCUUGCGGGGAGGUGCGUGUUCAGUUCGGUGCGCGGGCAGUGCAUUCCUGUUAGCAGAAUAAGAAUUAGUGUUAGCAGAAUAAGGUCUUAAGGGUGUUAUUAGAAUAGACCCACCCUAUAUAUAUAUAUGUGUAUAUAUAUAUAUAUAUAUAUAUAUAUAUAUAUAUAUAUUAGUCAAGGAAGAACACCAGUUGUAAAGUUUGACAAAAUUGCAAGUUUGGGGAAUUUGAAAAUUUGAAUAAUUUGCAAAAUGAUGAAAAACUCAAUUUUGAAGACUUUCAAGUAUGGUUGGUGGCGUGACCCACCGUAUAAGAAUGAUGAUUUCAUACACCACGUACAAUUGUCAUAGGGUUCUGAGAAUCAAAUUCUUCAUUAAUUUCUUCACACUUAGAGGGUAAGUCUUCAUUGAUUGAAGAAAUUACUUCGUGUGUUGCACAUCAAAGUCAUCAAUUUUACAUAAGUGUUAGGAUAUGUGUCCUUUCAAAGAACAUUCGAAGAUUCUAAGAUAUUUAGCUCAUACCGCAACUUGCAAAAUAUAUUUUCAUCCAAGGGCUUUGUGAAUAUAUCAUCUAGUAGUUCUUCAGUCUUCACAUGGUCGAUGAAGUUGUCGCCCUUCAACACAUAAUUUGAAAGAAAAUGAUGAUGAAUCUGGAUGUGCCUUCUUCGAGUGCUGAACUGGGUUGUGGGCACUCUUGAUGGCACUCUCGUUGUCGCAGUAGAGAGCACAUUCUUCACAUUGAUGCCAUAAUCUCAAGGGUUUGCUUCAUCCACAGCAAUUGAGCACAACAAGAACCACCAGCAAUGUACUCAGCUUCAGUAGUAGAAAGUGACACACUGUUCUACUUCUUCGAGGACCAACAUACUAAGGAUCAUCCAAGGAAAUGGCAUGUGCCUGAUGUUGAUCUGCGAUCCACCCGAUCGCCAGCAUAGUCAGAGUCAGAAUAUUUAAUGAGAUCAAAAGUCAAGCCCUUGGGAUAUGAUAAUCCAAGUGUUGGAGUGUGAGCUAGAUAUUGAAGAAUAUGUUUCACAACCUUAUGGUGUGAUUCCUUUGGUGUAGCUAGAAAAUGGGCACACAUGCAAAUACUAAGCAUAAUAUCUGGCCUGGAUGCACAUAGGUACAAUAAGGAUCCAAUCAUGGAGUGACAUACCUUUUGAUCGAAAUCUUUACCAUUUUCGUCGGUGCAGAGUUGGCCAUUUGUGGGCAUAGGGAUUUUGACGCCUUUGCAACUUGCAUGCCGAAUUUCUUCAGGACAUCCUUGAGGUAUUUCUCUUGAGAUAUGAAGAUGCCAUUGUGUGGUUGACGAAUUUGAAGACCUAAGAAGAAUUUCAAUUCUCCCAGCAUAGACAUUUGAUAUUCUUCACUCAUCAUAUAGGCAAAUUCCACUAUAACAUUUGUCAGUACAACCAAAGAUAAUAUCAUCCACAUAUAUUUGGCACACGAAUAAUUCAUGAUCGUAAAUAUUUGUGAAAAGAGUUGGGUUAAAUGAACCGGGUUUGAAGCCUUUCUUCACGAGGAAUUCCUUCAGUGUGUCAUACCAUGCUCGAGGGGCCUACUUGAGGCCAUAGGGGGCCUUGUUGAGUCUGAAGACUUUGUCAGGAUGCUUAGGAUCUUCAAAACCUAGGGGUUGAGCAAUACUUCUUCCUCAAGCUUACCAUUGAGGAAUGCACUUUUCACAUCCAUUUGAUAUAAGAUAAUAUUGUGAUGAAUAUCAUAUCCAAGCAAUAUGCGAAUAGCUUCAAGUCUAGCAACAGGUGCAAAAGUUUCAUCAAAGUAAAUUCCCUCAACCUGUGUGUAGCCCUGAGCUACAAGACGAGCCUUAUUCCUUGCACUAUGCUUGACAACCUUGUGGUGAUAGGUGAAAUACCAAGUAUAGUGUGAGCCAUCUCAACGAGAGUCAUGUUCUUGCGCUCCAUGAUGCCUUUCUGCUGAGGAGUGUAGGGGUGGAUAACUCAUGAGUAAUACCAAGUUCAUCAAGAUAGUCAUCAAGACCAGUGUUCUUGAACUCGGUCCCAUUAUCACUCCUGAUAUGCUUGAUCUUCACACCAAAAUUCAUCGAGGCCCUUCAAGAAAAUCGUGUGAAGACUUCCUGCACUUCAGUUUUGUACAUGAUGAUAUACACCCAAGUGUAACGAGAAUAAUCAUCAACAAUCAAAAAGCCAUAUAAUGAUGUUGCAUCUGUUAGUGUGGCAUAAUGAGUGGGGCCAAAGAGGUCCACGUGAAGCAAUUCAAAAGGACGAGUGGUAGUCAUGAUAGUCUUCAAGGGAUGCUUGGAUCUGGUCAUAUUUCCAACCUCACAAGCCCCACAAAGAUGAUCUUUGAGGAAUUUGACACCCUCGAUGCCGAUGACGUGCUUCUUCUUCACAAGUGUGUGCAAGUUCCUCAUGCCAGAAUGACCAAGUCGUCGAUGCCAUAUCCAACCUUCUAAAGCUUUUGCAAGUAGACAUGUGGCUGGUUGUGGUCCUGCAGAGAAACCAACAAUAUACAGGUCUCCUCUCCUAAAACCUUCAAAGAUUUUGGAUUUAUUAGAUUCCAUGAGUACUAUGCAAUGAUAUUUGCCAAAGAUGACAACCAUAUAAAGGUCACAAAGCAUUGAGACAGAUAUGAGGUUGAAUCUGAGACGAUUCGACAAGCAUGACUUUGUCCAUGUGUUGAUCAUUUGAGAUUGCAACCCUACCUAGACCCAAUACCUUGCUUUUUCCAUUGUCAGCGUAGGUGAUAUGCUUCAGAUGUGAUGGACAUAAAGCAGAGUCCAUCACUAAGUUCUUGUCGUUAGUCAUGUGAUUUGUACAUCCACUAUUGUGGACCACUCAGUAGCUUGGAGAGAUUCAUCCUGCACAUGAAUCAGUGCAUCUUAAGAACUCAUAUAAUUCAGAGUGAAGAAUAUGACAUCAAGUUCAUCACAUAGAAUUUCAUCAAGUACUGCAAUAGAUAAAUCAAUAAGGACGUGAUAAAUGAGUAAUUUAUUUCUUCAUGAUUAGCUUGCAUCCUUUCAAGCACUCUCAAGUCUCCAGCAAAUUCUUCAGACGUUCAAGUUCGUCUGGAGACCUGACUCUACAUAAGAGAUUAGUUCUUUUUCUUCACCACCCACAUCUGGAGGGGUGGCAAAGAGUUCGUCAUUAUAAGAUCUCCAUAUGAGAAAGGUGGCAUUGAAGCCCGUGCACUUCAUUCGCAGUAGAGGGGUUAAAGUACGCAUAUGUAUAAGCACAGAAAUUCUUCGAUGAAUUAUGAACAUAAUGAUUUGAAGAGUAAUGCACAUAUUCAUGGCCCUUAGAUUUUCCCUGCGAAACAGAUGCAUUAGCACGAGGAUAUGUGUACUUUUGACCAUAUGAGGAAUUUGAUCCAUGUGAAGACUUUGGUCCAUAUGAAGAAUUUGAUAUGGGGUUCCUAUUCUUCACAGGUGGUGUCAUGAGGACAUUCACUUGAAGACUUUCAAGGCACCUUUUGGGAACCCAGAUUUUCUUCAUAGGGGGGGCGUUCCAGCGGUUAGUUCCAACAUAUCUAGCAAAUAUUUCACCAUUUUGAUUUUUGAAUAGUUUAUAGUUGGAGUCAAAUGACUCAUCAGAUGAACAUGAAGAUUCACAUGUAAAGCCAGAUAAAGUAGAUGGAUCUACAAGAGGUCCUGUUGCAGCAACCCAUGAGGUUUUCGGAUAGUGCUCAGGUUUCCAGUAGGAUCCAUCAACAUUGACUUUCCUCUCAAAUGAAUUACCCUCUUUCCUAGGGUUCCUGUUCAGGGUAUGCCUUCUAAGCACAUCACAAAGGGCUUGAUUCCCAUUGAGGCUUUUGUACUUGCCUAUCACAUACAAUUCCUUCAACCCUGUAUUUUUGUCAGUGAUACUUGUGGUAUCCUCAGAUGAGGAAUUUGUGACCACGGAAAUAGUUGAAGAAGUUGCAGCAAUAGAAGCAUUUGAACUUUCAGGUGAAGAAUUAGCAGUCUCACGUUUGAUGCAUUUCAAAUAGGGUGGAAUGAAUUCUUCCUGAGUGGAACUGAUUUGUUGGGAAAGCAAACAAUCAUUUUCCCUUUGAAGAUCAUCAUGAAUCACUCUUAGUUUCUCAUGAUCUUGCUUUCUUUGAAGAAAUUCAUAUGAAAGGUUCUCAUGAUCGUCUAAGAGAGUUUGAUGACGACAUUGAAGGUUAUCAAACUUAGACCGAAGACGUUAAAGAUCAUCAGUUAGAGUCUGAGUUUGAUUCACUUCCUCACUCAAUAGGUCAUCCCUUUUCUCUAGCAAGUUUUGAACCCUUUCCAAAGCUUUUUGUUGUUUCGUGGCAAUACUAGCAAGUUUGGAAUAGCUAGGUUUGAGAUUUUCAUCAGAUUCACCUUUACUAGAUUCAGAGGAAGGAUAUUUGAGUACCUUGGCACCUUUUUCCAUGAAGCAAUAGGUGGGAGAAAAGUCAUCAUCUCCAUUGUUAGUAGUGUUGGAGUUGCCAUUUUCCCCAUAGUUGAAGAUGGACUUGCUAACGAAAGCACUAGCAAGAGCUAGGCUCGCCACACUAGAGUCUGACUUCUCAGAUUCCUCCUCUUCCUCAUUUUCUUCAGAUUCAGCUUUAAAAUCCAUUUCCUUGACAAUAAAUGCCCGAGCCUUUCUGGAACUGCUCUUCUUGUGAGAUGAAGACUUUGAAGAUUUUGAUGAUGUGGACUUUGAAGAUUUCUGCUUUUUCUUUGAGUCAUUUGAAAUGUCAUCUUAAUUUGUAAUUCUUAUUCUUUGAUUCCUUCUCCCACUGAGCAUAAUCAACAAUGUAGUGACCAGACUCCUUGCAUUUGUGACAAGUCCUUCUCUUGUUGUCGCGGGAUGAAGAAUCUGAUCUCAUGUCAUCACCUCUUGAUGAUUUUCCAAAACGGCCACACCUUGAUAACUUCUAGAAUUUCCUCAUGAGCAUUGCUAGCUCCUGGCUUAGUUCUUCAGGGUCACCAAGGCUACUGUCAGAGUCUUCCCCUUCAGAUGAGGAAAUUGCCUUGGCCUUCAGAGCAUGUGAUCUUCCAUAGCUUGGCCCGCAGAGGUCUCUUUUCUCAGCUUGUUGGAAUUCACGAGUAUUUAGCCUCUCGAGAAUAUCAGUCGGAUCCAGUGAAUUGUAAUCUCCUCAUUCUUGAAUCAUCAGUACCAGUGUAUCGAAUGAAGAAUCGAGAGAUCUCAGCAAUUUCUUCACCACCUCGUGGUCGGUGAUGUCGGUAGCACCAAGAGCUUGGAGCUCAUUGGAGAUAUCAGUAAGACGAUCGAAAGUUUGAUGAACAUUUUGUUGUCGAGUCUUUCGAAGUGGCUAAAGAGAUUACAAAGAACGUCAACUCGAGAAUCACAUUGGGUUGAGAUUCCUUCGCUGACCUUGGAUAGCCUAUCCCGGAUAAGGUUUGCAGUCUCCAAAGCACUCACUAUGCCGCAUUGUCCUUUGCUCAGAUGGCCACAUAUGAUAUUCUUUGCUUGAGAGUUGAGUUGCUUGAAUCUUUUCACAUCAGCAGCGUUUACAGCGGGAGUGAUGGAGGGAACACCAUUUUCCACAACGUACCAGAAAUUGUUGUCAAUUGCCUCAAGAUGCAUGCUUAUGUUGUUCUCCCAGUAGGGGUAGUCCAUCCUACCGAAGGUAGGACACCCAGCCGAGACCUUGAUCAUGCCUGCAGUCGACAUAACUAAAACUCCAGGUGGUUGAACCAAAAUCACACAGAAAAAUGGAGUACCUUGCCAUGAUACCAAUUGAAAGUGCGUUAUGUCGACUAGUGGGGGUGAAUAGGUGAUUUUUACAAAUUCAUCACUCAGGAAUUUCUACUUGAGGAAUUUGCUAAGUGACAAAAUACAAGCAGGGGAUAAAGUACUCAGGUGCAAGCAUAACAUGGUAGUAACAUAGUCAUCAUGAUGAGAUGAAGCAUACACAGAGCACAAGUAGCAUGUAAAGAGGAUAAGCAUGUAGAAGAUAAGGUGACUGAAGAAUUUGGGUUGAGGAAUUGACAAAGUCUUCAAUCAAAGUCUUCAAACAAUAAUAAUAAAUUUCAUCAACGAGUAAACGAGGAAAUGAAAGGGUUGAGGAAAUAGAACUAGUAGCUUGGUGAAGAUAGCGAUUUGGUAGACCAGUUCCAACUACUAUGACAGUUGUACGUCUGGUUGGAGCAGAUUUGUAUUUAAAACAAAGGACACAUAGUCCUAGGACACACAAUCCUUACCAUAUUAUUCUUGAGCUACGGUCACACAGACCAUGCCCAAUUACUCAUGGUAAGUCUUCAAGGUGACUUCCAAACCUUCACAAACUCGGUCACCCGACGAUCCACAAUUCCUCUUGGAUGCUCUAGACCAUGACACCUAACCGUCUGGAACAUUCACAGUCUUCAAAGGUAAAACGCGUCACCUCCAGACAGGAACAAUCUCUUAAGUUAUGCUCAAUCACUUUGGGUUUUAAGUGUUGGGGUUUUGGGUUUUUUCUCACUGAUGAUUUUCUCUAAAAGUCCUCGGAGGAUGGGAUGCUCUAAAUAACACUUGUCAAUCUCUCCCGGAGUAGCCAACCAGCUACUGGUUAAGGGGGCGGCUAUUUAUAGUAAGGAUGCAACCUGACAUGAUAAGACAAAAAUGCCCCUAAUGAUAUGACCGCUAUGCGGAUAAGAUAUCUGGACAGCUGGUGCAAAGCACAAAAUCGGUUAGAAAUUCUAACCAUGAAAUUCCUCAGGGCUAUCAUGUUCCUCACUGUAGGCAGUUAGGCUGGCAAAUUCCUAACUCCUCGGUCAGAACAAAUUCCUUAGAUACUAGAAGAACUUCGUCUCUGUUACUGAAGAGAUUGACUGCACUGCAAGAGAUUUCCAAAGGCUUCACUCGAAGGAUUGGGUAUGUGUAGGCUCUGAGAUGAGCAUCACAUGUAAAUUUUUCCUUAGUAUUACCUCGCCCCCCUUUAACAGUAUGGUGUUUCCUAUGAUUGAAAACAAGGAAACAAAACUGAGAAAACAAAAGUCUUCACGCUUCAUGGUCCUCGCAUCAAUAUCUUCAAGGCCACACCAAUUUUCACAUUUUCAAAGUCUUCAAGAAAAGCACAAAGUCUUUAGAUGAAGACAUUCAUUUUUAGGGGUCGACAUUCAUCGGAUAUAUAAAACUCCUCAAAGACUUAUAAGUCAUGUGUACACUCACAAGACAUUAGUCCCUUUACCUAUAAGUCUUCAAUACACCAAAAUCACUAAGGGGUACUAGAUGCACUUACAAUUAGGUUGUGUACUAAUGCAAGAGUGAAGGGUGAUUGCUUAUGCCUCUCGUCAGUUGCGCCCUCACGAAGAGAACUACCCAGUUCAUGACCUCGAGCUUGUUGCAGUCAUAUAUGCACUAAAGCUGUGGCGACAUUACCUUCUCGGUAAUCAUUGCGAGAUCUUCACUGACCACCAAAGUCUAAAGUAUCUGUUUACUCAGCCAGAUCUGAACCUCUGUCAGCAAAGAUGGAUGGACGCCAUAGAAGAUUAUAACUUGGGUAUUUCCUAUACCCCAGUCAAGGCUAAUGUGAUGGAUGGUUCCUUGAGACACAAGUCCUAUUGCAUCCACCUCAAGGUUCGAAAAGUUCAGCCCCUUCUUAAUGAAGAAUUCAGUAAGCUGAACCUCCAUAUUGUUCCUCCGGGUUAUCUCGCUCCCCCUCCUGAAGAAUUUCAAAAGAUGAACCUCCAUGUUGUUCCCCAGGGUUCUCUCAAUACCCUGGUUUCUUAACCAGAUCUCGUGGGCGACAUCCAGACUAUUCAGCACUAUGACUCUCAAGUGGAGAAGAUUAAAUGCUAUCUCGCAUAAGGAAGGCCCUCAUUUUUCACUAUUGGUGACGAUGGUGCUUUGUUCUUCAAAGGUAGCCUAGUGGUCCCUACAAAAGACAAAUUGGAUAUGACUCCGAAGAUUAUGGAAGAAGCUCAUGAUACACCUCUGUCUAUUCAUCCUGGUAGUACAAAGAUGUACGAAGACAUUUGUCGGAAAUUCUGGUGGUCAAAUAUGAAGCAACACAUUGCUUGCUAUGUUGAUGAGUGUGACAUUUGUCGUCGAAUCAAAGCAGAACAUCAGAGACCUGCUGGAACUCUGCAACCUAUUACUAUUUCGGAAUGGAAAUGGGACCAUUUCAAAUGGACUUUGUUAGUAGUUUUCGCAGAUCACAGAAGGGAAAUGAUGCCAUUCUUGUUACCAUUGACCGACUUUCCAAUGUUGCACAUUUUCUCCCAGUCAAGGAAACAAUCACUACUAGUCAGCAGCCAGAUCUCUAUGUUUCCAGAAUUGUGUCACUUGAUGGUAUUCCUUUGGUAAUCAACUCAGACCGUGGUAGUCUUUUCACUUUAGGAUUCCGGGAAAGUUUCCAAGAAGCCAUGGGAACUCAUCUGUCCUUUAGCACCGGUUUUCUCCCACGGACAUGUUGAACGAGUCAACAAAAUUCUAGAAGACAUGCUUCGAGCUUGUGUCAUUUCCUUCAGCAAGAAAUGUGAGGAAUCUCUCCCACAUGUUGAGUUCUCUUACAACAAUACUAUCAAGCUAGUCUGAAGAUGGCCCCCUUCAAAGUGUUAUAUGGACGAAAGUGUCGAACUCCUCUAAAUUUGUCAGAAACUGGGGAACGAUCACUGUUCGGUGUGGAUAUUAUCCAAGAUGCCGAAGAACAAGUCUGCGUUAUCUAUGAGAAUCUAAAGACUGCUCAGUCUCAUCAGAAGAGUCAGUAUGACCGUCAUCACAAAGAUAUGGUCUAUCGACCUUACGAAAAGGCUUACCUUUGAGUCACACCGAUGGAAGGUGCUCAACGCUUCGGGAUCAAGGGCAAGCUAGCUACUCGCUACGUUGGUCCAUUCACCAUUCUUGAAAGACAUGGAAAAGUGGCAUGUCAAUUGGAACUAUCGCCGAAACUUUCUUAGGUUCACGAUGUCUUCCAUGUGUCACAGCUCCACCGCUGCUUAAAGAACCCCAUCCGAGCAGUGAACUACGAAAUGCUUGAACUGCAACAAGAUCUCUCUUAUAAGGAGCAUCUGGUCCACAUACUUGAUCAAGUUGAACGUCGCACCCGUUAGAAGGCGAUCAAAUUUCUUAAAGUCCAGUGGUCAAACCAUUCUGAAGAAGAAAGCACUUGGGAACGCGAGGAUCGUCUAUGUGAUGAAUACCCCGCCUUGUUUCUGUCUACCUCCUAAAUCUCGGGACGGAUAAUUAAGCUACAAUGAUACCCUACUAAUGGUGCCAAGUCAUCAAAAUUAUUGUUGCUAAAUCUCACUUUGAUUCAAACACAAUUCAAAUUCAAAUCUAAAUUAAAGUCAAAUAAUUAAAGGUUUCAAAUGUCAAAACUAAAAUGUUCGUAAUGUGGUAAAUAAUCCAUAGAGAAAUAUGGUGAAGAAAUCAGCAUUUUAUAGAGUAUUUAAAAUGCCCGAAAAUAAUUAAAACAGUGGCUAAAACAAUUGUUUAAAUGCCUUUUUAAAAAUAUAAAAAUGCAAACUCUAAUUAUGGAACAAAUUAUAUAUUUUAUAAAACUAAAAUAACAUAGAAAUAAAAUGGGAAACAUAAAAAAAUAAAAAUAAAAAUAAAAAUAAAAAGGGGAAACCUCCCUUGGGCCACUUGGCCCAGCUGUCGAUCAGGCCGGUCCACCAGCGCCCCUUCCCACCUCCUGUUCACAGGGGGCGUGGCGGCCAUCGCCAUGGCCACGACCUCCACUAGCCUCGCCGCCCCCUCAUCUACAACGGAGGAUGAGCCCCCACUUUACCCCGCCCCCCUCCGUUUCCCCUUCUGUACCGAUGCCGCCCACUCCUGCGCCCACCGCGCUCAUGGCGACCGAGCCGCGCCCUCGCCUUGCUGGGCUGCGCCGUGUCGCAUCCCGUGCCACCUACACGCGCUCGCUCGCCCGCUUGCGCUUGGCUUCCUCGCUACUCUGCUCCGCCCGCGCCCUUGCGCUACUUGCCAUGCCACACCUCUACAUAGAACCCGAUGCACGCCUCGGCCACCCCCUGCUCGUAUGGCCAUGCGCCCGCGCGCCAGAGCCGCUGGGCUGAGCGCUGCUUGCCCAGCCCGCCGCCGCCUUCGCCCACGCCAACUAUGCCCGCUGGAUGCUGCUGCGACCAUCAUACAUGAUGUUCCCCUGCUGCUUGCUCGCUCCUACACUUGUUGCUCGCCCUGCUACUGGCCGCUGUUGGGUGGUUGUCGCUAGCCACCCCCUGCCCCCACGCCACCACUCUUGCUCCGCCCACUGCCAGCCGGCCCGCCGCUACCUGCCCCGACCUGGCUGCCGGUACCCGCUGUGUCGUGCCCAGCCGGCGAGGCUGCUAGCUCUCUGCCUGCACCGGCCCCUUUUGAUUAGUGGGAGGGGGCUAACCCCCCAUAUUGGUUAAGCCUACCCCCCCUCCCCCCCACUAACAAUCGCUGACAACGGCCCCCAGCGCCCUAAUAACUAAUAAACAACAACAACANNNNNNNNNNNNNNNNNNNNNNNNNNNNNNNNNNNNNNNNNNNNNNNNNNNNNNNNNNNNNNNNNNNNNNNNNNNNNNNNNNNNNNNNNNNNNNNNNNNNNNNNNNNNNNNNNNNNNNNNNNNNNNNNNNNNNNNNNNNNNNNNNNNNNNNNNNNNNNNNNNNNNNNNNNNNNNNNNNNNNNNNNNNNNNNNNNNNNNNNNNNNNNNNNNNNNNNNNNNNNNNNNNNNNNNNNNNNNNNNNNNNNNNNNNNNNNNNNNNNNNNNNNNNNNNNNNNNNNNNNNNNNNNNNNNNNNNNNNNNNNNNNNNNNNNNNNNNNNNNNNNNNNNNNNNNNNNNNNNNNNNNNNNNNNNNNNNNNNNNNNNNNNNNNNNNNNNNNNNNNNNNNNNNNNNNNNNNNNNNCAACAACAACAACAACAACAAUAAUAAUAAUAAUAAUAAUAAUAAUAAUAAUAAUAAUAAUAAUAAUAAUAAUAAAUACCAUAAGUAAUUAAUAAAUUAAUUAAUAUUUUAAUUAAUUAAUUAGCUUAAUGGGCCAAUGACAUGUGGGUCCAUUUUGACCCAGUUCACUAGUCAACUCUUGACUGGACCCCAUAGACCCCACCUGUCAGCCUCACAGACCCCUCUUGCUGGUACACUUUUGGGUGUACCUAGUAGUUAGCCAUUUAUUUUGAAUUAAUAUUAAUUUCAGAAAAUGUUUAAAACUUUGAAAAUUAAUUUAAAAUAAUCCGUAACUAGGAUGAAAAUAAUUUAUAUAUGAAAGUUGCUGAGAAAAAUAUAACGAAUCUGAAUAUGCUAUCCGUUCAUCUGUCACAUGCCUCUAGGAUGAUGGACAUGGGUCUUUCCUCUCUGGUUCAUCUGUCCGAAAAAUGCCAAGCACCGAGAAAACAUUCCCAGAUGUUUUCUCGCUUCGUCUGUAUAACUUAGCUCUGCGUUAGGUCAGCCCUAGCACUACAUAUUGCCAUGUCAUGCAUCGUGAUGCAUCUAUUUGCUUUAUAUUUAUUGUUUCUAACCCCUUUUCUCUCCGGUAGACAUCGAGACUGACGCUACUAUUGGGUAUGACUAUGGUGUCAAUGACCCUUCCUUCUCGGCAGAGCUUCCAGGCAAGAAAAAAUCCCUUGAUCAUUCCGAUACCGCCUACUCUUUCCCUCUACUGCUUGCAUUAAAGUAGUGUUACUGUUACUGCCUUACCGUUGAUCCUAUACUGCUGCAUAGCUUGUCCUUGCUACUGUUGUUGAUAUUUCUACCUGUUAUCCUAAAUGCUUAGUAUAGGUAUGCUAGUAUUUCAUUAGUGGCCCUACAUUCUUAUCCGUCUAGCAUGCUAUACUAUCGGACCGUGAUCCCUUCGGGAGGUGAUCACAGGUAUAUAUAUACAUACUAUACAUGAUACAUGAUAUGAUUAUAGUCGGGUCGGCUCAUAGAGUACCCGCGAGUGAUUCACGGACUGAGGUCUCAAAGGAAAUUUCUCCCGACGGCCCCCUGGGUGAUUUUUUGUGGUGGAGCGAUAGGGCAGAUUGAGACCACCUAGGAGUGAGGUGGGCCUGGUCCCUGGUCGUUUGAUGUCUACUAUGCAACUUUAUUCUUGUAGACUCACGUUGGGCCUCCAAGCGCAGAGUUUUGUAGGACACUAGCAAUUUUCCCUCAAGUGGAUGACCUAAGUUUUAUCAAUCCGUGGGAGGCGUAGGAUGAAGAUGGUCUCUCUCAAACAACGCUGCAUCCAAAUAGCAAAGAGUCUCUUAUGUCCCCACCACACCAAAUACAAUGGUAAAUUGUAUAGGUGCACUAGUUCGGCGAAUAGAUGGUGAUACAAGCGUAGUAAUGAUAGUAGAUAUUGAUUUUUUCCAAUAUGAACAAUAAAAGACAGCAAGGUAGCAAUUGAUAAAACGAAGCACAAACGGUAUUGCAAUGCUUGAAAAUGAGGCCUAGGGUCCGUACUUUCGCUAAUGCAAUCUCUCAACAAUGCUAAUAUAAUUGGAUCAUAUAACCACCCCUCAACGUGUGAUGAAGAAUCACUCCAAAGUUCAUAUCUAGCAGAGAACAUAAGAAGAAAAUGUUUGUAGGGUACGAAACCACCUCAAAGUUAUCCUUUCCAAUCAUUCUAUCCAAGAGUUUGUACUAAAAUAACAACAAGUUAUCCUUUCCUAUCAAUCUAUCGAUGAGUUCAUACUAGAAUAACACCAUAUGAUACACAUCAACCAACUCUAAUGUCACCUAGAUACUCCAAUGUCACCGUGAGUAUCCGUGAGUUGAUUAUACGAUAUGCAUUAAACAAUUUCAGAUUCAUAAUAAUCAAUCCAACACAAAGAACCUCAAAGAGUGUCUCAAGAUUUCUACCAGAGAAACAAAGAUGAGAACGUGCAUCAACCCCUAUGCAUAGAUUACCCCAAUGUCACCUCGGGAAUCCACUAGUUGACAGCCAAAACACAUAUCAUGUGAACCAAUAUGAUACCCCAUUGUCACAACGGGUAUUCCUAGCAAGACAUACAUCAAGUGCUCUCAAAUCCAUAAAAGUAUUCAAUCCGAUAAAACGAAAUCUCAAAGGGAAAACUCAGUUCAUCACAACAAGAUAGAUAGGGGAAAACACCAUAUGAUCCAACUAUACUAACAAAGCUCGCGAUACAUCAAUAUCGUGCCAACUCAAGAACACAAGAGAGAGAGAUUAAACACAUAGCUACUGGUACAAACCCUCAGCCCUGAGGGUGGACUACUCCCUCCUCAUCAUGGUGGCCACCGGGAUGAUGAAGAUAGCCACCGGUGAUGAUUUCCUCUAUGAAAGGGUGCCAAAACGGGGUCUAGAUUGGUUUUUUGUGGCUACAAAGGCUUGCGGCGGCGGAACUUCUGAUCUAAGUAAGAGCUCCACAUACUCAAUCAUCAUAUAAUCUUCCAUGAUUUCUAGUACUUGAUACGUCUCCAACGUAUCUAUAGUUUUUGAUUGUUCCAUGCUGUUAUAUUAUCAUUCUUGGAAGUUUUACAAUCAUUUUAUAUCAUUUUUUGGUACUAACCUAUUGACAUAGUGCCCAGUGCCAGUUGUUGUUUUCUGCUUGUUUUUUACAUUGCAGGAAAUCAAUACCAAACGGAGUCCAAACGCAGCGAAACUUUUUGUGGAUUUUUUUAGACCAGAAGACACAAGAUGGGCCGAAUAAGUACCAGAGCGGUGCCCCGAGGGGCGCACAACCCACCAGGACGCGCCUGGGGGCCCAGGUGCGCCCAGGUGGGUUAUGCCCACCUCAGUUGCCUCCCGCACCGCCUCUUUGCUCUAUAAAUACCCCAAUAUUCUAGAAACCCUAGGGAGUCGACGAAAAUCAAUUCCAGACGCCGCAAGUUCCAGAACCACCAGAUCCAAUCUAAACACCAUCACGGAGGGGUUCAUCACCUUCAUUAGUGCCUCUUCAAUGAUGCAUGAGUAGUUCAUUGUAGACCUACAUGUCCGUAGUUAGUAGCUAGAUGGCUUCCUCUCUCUCUCUCUCUCUCUCUCUCUCUCUCUUGAUUCUUAAUACAAUGGUCUCUUGGAGAUCCAUAUGAUGUAACUCUUUUUGCGGUGUGUUUGUUGGGAUCCGAUGAACUUUGUGUUUAUCAUCAGAUAUAUGUUUUUAUCCGUGGAAGUUAUUGGAGUCUUAUUUUGAUCUCUUAUAUGCAUGAUUGCUUAUAGCCUUGUAUUUCUUCUCCGAUAUUUAGGUUUUGUUUGGCCAACUUGAUCUAUUUAUCUUGCAAUGCGAAGAGGUACUUUGUGAUGGGUUCGAUCUUAUAGUGCUUGAUCCUAGUGACAGAAGGUGAACCGACACGUAUGUAUCGUUGAUAUUAAGGAUAACAAGAUGGGGUCUAUUUCUACAAAAAUAGAUCUUGUCUACAUCAUGUCAUCAUACUUAUUGCAUUACUCCAUUUUUCCAUGAACUUAAUACACUAGAUGCAUGCUAGAUAGCGGUCGAUGUGUGGAGUAGUAGUAGUAGAUGCAGGCAGGAGUCGGUCUACUAAUCUUGGAAGUGAUGCCUAUAUAAUGAUCAUUGCCUGGAUAUCGUCAUGAGUAUUUGAAAUUCUAUCAAUUGCCCAACUGUAAUUUGUUAUUCCACCGUUUGCUAUUUUUCUCGAGAGAAGCCACUAUUGAAACCUACGGCUCCCGGGUCUCUUCUUUAAUAUAUUUUCCUUCGCGAUCUAUUUUUAUUUGCUUUUAUUUUCAGAUCUAUUAAACAAAAAAUACAAAAUACCUUGCUGCAAUUUUUUGUAAUUUAUUUUAUCUCGCAUUCCCGCGAGAUAUAUUUAUCCAAUGUACUACAAUUUUACCUAUCUUUUUACCCGUGAGGGAUUGACACCCCUCUCUUACGUCGGGUUGCAAGUAUUUAUUAUUUGUGUGCAGGAGCUGUUUACGUGGUGUUGUGUGGUUCUCCUAUUGGUUCGAUAACCUUGAUCUCAUCGCUGAGGUAAAUACCUACGUUGUUGUGCUUCAUCUAUGUUGUUGUGCUUCAUCAUCCCUUCCUCUUUGGGGAAAUACCAACAUAGUUCAAGCAAUUAUCAAAAGGAAUUUCUGGCUCCAUUGCCGGGGAGACAUCAUCAACACCAACCAGGUUCCUAAUCACAAAUCUCAUCUCCUUGCAAUUCACAUUAUUUGCCAUUUGCCUCUUGUUUUCCUCUCCCCACUUCACAAAAAAUGCCAUUUUGUUUGCCCAUUUCUCGUCAGAUCUCAUGUUUGCUUGUGUUUCCAUGUGCCUUCUAUUUGCUUGCAUCUUUGCUUGCUAAAAAAUUAUUGAUAUGGAUCCUCAUCCACUUGCUAAUCUUUUCAAAAGAUCCAAGUGUGAUGAAACAAUUGCUAGUUAAUUGAGUUCAUUAAAUUAUCUUUAUGAAGUUUUGCUUGAGAUUUAUGAAUCUAAAAAUUGUGAUGAAGUGUUAAAUGAAGGAAUUUAUGAAGUGAUUCAUGAUAGCUCCUUGAAUGAAAAGCAUGAUUGCAAUGAUGUUAUUAUAAAUUAUAUUAAUGUCAAUUCUGAUAAUAAUAUGCAACACCCCAAGCUUGGGGAUGUUAAUUUUGAUAUGUCAACUACUUAUUGCAAUGAUCAUGAUUGGGGUGAUUCUUCUUAUGAUCUUGAAAAUUUAUUUAAGCCUCACGAUGAAUAUGUUUGCAAUAAUAUUGAAAGUGGUUUUGGAAGAGUGUCAACUCUAGGUAAAAAUGAUCCACUACUUUGGAGAAUGAUCAAUCUUAUGAAAUUUUUGAUAAAAGUGGGCUCGAAGAGGUCAUGACUUUACUUGAUGAUCCCACUAUUUCGAAAGAGUGUCAACUUUGCAUGCAUGUGGAUCAUGUAGAGAAUAUGUUAUGUGAUAGAUAUAUCAUUGAAUAUGAAUAUGACCCCACAUGUAAUUAUUAUGAGAGAGGAAAAUAUGGUUGUAGAAUUUUUCAUGUUACUAAAUUAACUCUCCUCAUGUUGAGAUUGUCAAUGUUUUAUUCUUCUCCCAUGCAUAUGCUAGUUUUUGCUUGUAUUGAUAAUUUGUUUGCCUACAAAAUGCCUAUGCAUAGGAAGUAUGUUAGACUUAAAUACGUUUGUCACAAGUUUUAUGCUACUCUAUUUGUGCUUCAAUUCUUGUCUUUGAUGUGUGCAUCGUUAAAAUUUCAAGCCUAUCUUAGUGGCUAUAAAGAAAGAGCUUGUUGGGAGGCAACCAAAUGAAUAAAUUUUAUUUUUGUCUUUUUCUUUAUGUUCUUGAGAGUUUACCCAAUUAUGCAUAUUAUUAGAUGUUUUUUGUGGUUUAAAUUAGUGUUUGUGACAAGCAAGGCCUUUAGGAUGAUUUGGGUGAGAGUUGAUUUGAUCUUGCUGAAAAACAGAAACUUUUGCACUCACAGAAAUAAUUCCCGUUUUUAACAAAAGAGUUAUUUUGAGUUGAUUCUUUUUGCAGAAGAUUAAUAUACAAAUUUUCCACAUUUUCCUAAUUUUUCAGAAUUUGUUGAGUUACAGAAGUAUUCGAAGUUUCUAGAUUACUACAGACUGUUCUGUUUUUGACAGAUUCUGUUUUCUUUGUGUUGUGUACUUGUUUUGAUGAUUCUAUGGUUCUAUUUGAAGAUUUUUUGCGAUAGAAAAGUUGGAAUACAGUAGAUAUAAUUCAAAAACAAAAUACGAAUGGGUUUGCAACAGUAAAUAUACUAGUGGUUUGCUUUCUUAUACUAAUCGAUCUCACGAACGUUUUGUUGAGUUUUGUGUGAUUGAAGUUUUCAAGUUUUGGGUGAUAUUACGAUGGAUGAAGGAAUAAGGAUUAGCAAACGGCUAAGCUUGGGGAUGGCCGAGGCAUCCCAAGAUAAUAUUCAAGAAGUAGCAAGCAACUAAGCUUGGGGAUGCCCCCGAGUGGCAUCCCUCUUUCUUCUAACAACGAUCAGUAUUUUAAUUGGAGCUAUAUUUUUAUUUGUCACAUAUUAUGUGUUUUGCUUGGAUCGUCUUGUAUGAUAUGAGUCUUUGCAUUUUUUGAUUUUUAUUUUAAGUCUUGAAUCCUUGCUGGACACUCCUAUUUGAGAGAGCCAAAAAUUAUGUUAUGCUUGCUCCUAUGCUUCAGUUCAAUUUUGAGAGCCAUGGAAUUGCUCAAGUGCUUCACUUAUAUCUUUUUGAGCAUGGUGUGCUUUGUUAUUUUUGAAGAAAUGCUCUCAUGCUUCACUUAGAUUUAUUUGGGAGUUAGUAAAAAAUUUAAGAAAUUAUCUCUUGCUUCCCUUCAAUUAUUUUGAGAGAAAGAAAUAGUAUGCUCAUGUUCUUCACUUAAACUUGUUUGAGCUGAUUAAAAGCAACAUAUGAAACUAGUCCCAAAGUGAUAGAUGUCCAAGGAGGAUAUAACAAAAACUUUCAUGAACAUCAUUGGACAAAAUAAACUUGGUUCUUUGUAAUAGUUUUGAGAUAUGACGAUAUGAUAUGUGAGUCAUGUUGAUGAGUAAUUAUGCUUUAGUAAGAAUAUUGGUGUUAAGGUUUGUGAUUCCCUAUGCAAGCAUGAAAGUCAAUAGUUAUGCAAUGAAAUUACAUCCUACUUGUGGUGCAUUAUUUAUUGUUAGUUAUGCUUAAUGCUUGCUUAUGAGAUUUUUCGUUUCUUGGUUGGACGCUUCUCAAUCUUUUUGUCAGCCUUCAUUUGCACUAAGUAUGAUCACUACUUGUGCAUCUGAAACCCUUUAAACCAGAUUUGCCAUAUGAGUCCACUAUACCUACCUAUAUGCGGUAUUUCCAUGCCGUUCUAAGAAAAGUUGUGUGUGCAUCUCUAAUUUUCAAAAUAAAUUUCUCUUUUGUUUGAUCGUACCGCUCGCGAGGCGGCGAGGGGUGGCCGAUGUUUUCCAUUCUAAAUGUGUUAUUCUCACGAUGAGUGCUUAUUCACUUGUCAUUGCACGAGAGUACGACAAAGGUAUUAGGGAUGCCCAGUCUCAAAAUGAAAAAUGAAUUUACUUUAUGUUGUCAAAUAAUUAAUUCCUUGGAAAGUCUUGGUAUGGAGGGCACCCGUGGAUACAGUUAGCCAUGGAAAGUGAAAGUAUGGUGGAAAAAGGACUUUAUUUUCUGUUUGGGAACCGCCUAUGAUGUAUCUAGCAUGGAAAGUGUUGGGAACUCUAAGUCGUUUUGGUUGGUGGGAAAAGUAUGCCUCCCAAAAUGUCUUUAUCUCUCAAUUUUCGCUUUGAGCUCUGGCACCUCUACAAAUCCCUACUGCCCUCUACGAAAGGCCUUUCUUUUACUUUAUGCAUUUUUUUAUUUGAGUCUCCACCUACUCUUAUAAAGCACCAACUAAGGGGCACUAUGAUCGUACUUGAGCAUUGGGUAUAACUAGCAUUGGAGUGUGUUUCAUGAAUGGAUCAAUGAUUGAGCAUAAUGGGCUAGGGAUAACUUGCUUUAGCAUUGAUAUUUUGAAAGACAUGGUUGCUUGUUGAUAUGCUUGAGUAUUGAAGUCUUCAUGUCAAAACUAGACUAUUGCUUUGAACCAUAUAAAAAUCCAAAUGUCCAUGCUACAAAGAAAACAAUAUGUGAUGAACAUAUUAGGCAGCAUUCGACACUACAAAAAAAGACACAUCCGUGACAUUUUGGGCCGAACGAAAUUUUUUUAUGUCAUACUUAUGACACUUCUAUGACGAUAAUUGUGACAAAACACGGUAUCAUCAUAGAUGUGGUGGGCGCCUACUUCUUUGAUAAAAAAUCAUGACAGAAAAUGGGCUUUUCAUCCUGGGCGGGCCUGAGACGCAGCUGCAUGACAUUCUUUGGGCCGUCCAUGAUGGAAAAGGCUGUGGUAGAAGCGAGGGCGAGGAAAAUAUCAGGGUGUAACCGGUUAUGGUGGAUGGUCGGGGCCGAGCGAUGCACAGAGGUUUGCGCGUUUCUCUCGUACAUGCAUGCGCAUGGGUGCGAGGGGUUGGGCUCUAAAUGAAACCAGCGAGGUGUUUACCUACUGAUCCCGAGCGAUUGCACUGCAGGCUAUGCGUUACUGAACCCGAGAGAUCCAUCGAUGGCUGUUAACUAAAGCCGAUCGAGCGAUUCCUUCGCUACUACUGCUAACUGAAGCUGAUCGAUGCUGCCUCUGGAUGAACAGUGAGCGUUGCUGNNNNNNNNNNNNNNNNNNNNNNNNNNNNNNNNNNNNNNNNNNNNNNNNNNNNNNNNNNNNNNNNNNNNNNNNNNNNNNNNNNNNNNNNNNNNNNNNNNNNNNNNNNNNNNNNNNNNNNNNNNNNNNNNNNNNNNNNNNNNNNNNNNNNNNNNNNNNNNNNNNNNNNNNNNNNNNNNNNNNNNNNNNNNNNNNNNNNNNNNNNNNNNNNNNNNNNNNNNNNNNNNNNNNNNNNNNNNNNNNNNNNNNNNNNNNNNNNNNNNNNNNNNNNNNNNNNNNNNNNNNNNNNNNNNNNNNNNNNNNNNNNNNNNNNNNNNNNNNNNNNNNNNNNNNNNNNNNNNNNNGCGGUGGGGGUGGAUGAACAGGACCCCGUGGUGUUGCCUCUGGAUGAACAAGACCCCGAUCGAUCGAGCCGGUUGGGGAUGGAUGAACAGGACCCCGUGGAGGGCUGGAUGAACAGUAGAAGGUGGAGGGGUGGAUGAACAGUAGCCCGUGGAGGGGUGGUUGAACAGGAGCCUGUGGAGAGGGGUGGUUGAACAGUAGCAGGUGGAGUAGCGCGGUGGAGGCUGGAUGAACAGGAGCCCGUGGAUGAACAAUCGCAGGUGGAGGCUGGAGGAGGUGGACGGUGGAUGAACAGUAGCCCGUGGAGGCUGGAGGAGGUCGACGGUGGAGAUGAACAGUAUCCCGUGGAGUCCCGUUUUGCGGUACGCCACACCCCUCCCGAUGAACAGGAUCCCCGUUUCGACCGUAGCGCUCCAACACAAGUCUGUUUCCUCUGUUUUGCGAUACGCCACACCCCCCCGAUAAAUAGGACCCCGUUUCGACCAUAGGAGGUCCAACACAAGUUUGUUUCCUCCGUUUUGCGGUACACCAGACCCCUCCCGAUGAACAGGAUCCCGUUUCGAACGUGGCUGGUCGAACACAAGGCAGUUUCCUCCGUUCUGCGGUACACCAGGCCUCGUUUCCAUCGACUGUUCCGUCCAAGCCGGUUGGCUCCCACGCGUUCCGUUGCCUCCCGAUGAACACGACGCAUUCCAUUGCCUCCCGAUGAACACGACGCAUUGCCUCCCCAUGAACACGACGACGAUGCAGUUUCUCCGUUCUGACCCAGCCAUGUGCACGAGCUUUGGCCGUAUGUAUGCGCGAGUAGGCAUUCGAGACCCCGCCUGUAUGUAGGUACGUGGCCUUAUUUUCUUUCUUGCACAUUGGUCAUUGUACGUACGUGUACAUGCUACGUGCGCGCCUCUACUACGACACGUGCGCGCCUCUACAUCGACUAGUAUGUACAUACAUGUUCGCGACCAGAAUCACAAUGUUACGUACGCUUCGACCAGGUGGGUCCCGAAUGUCAGGAACUUCCUUGCAUGCGAAGAUGUAGCUGAUGGGUCCCAGCUGUCAGGGGGCGAAUCGUUUUUCCCCGGAUGCACUUCCUUGUGUGCGAAGAUGUAGCUGGUGGGUCCCAGCAAUCAGGGGGGAAACGUUUUUUUCUCGAAAUACGGCGGCCCGUCCAGUGGGUCCCUGCUGUAAAGUUUUCCUGCACCAGGUUUUCACCUCAUUGGCUAUAAAGUUUGAGCCAUUAUCGGUGAUGAUGCUGUGGGGGACACCAUAGCGGUGUAUGACCCCGGAUAUAAAGUCUAUCACUGGUCCGGAUUCGGCCGUUUUAACUGGUUUGGCUUCUAUCCAUUUGGUGAAUUUAUCGACCAUGACCAACAAGUAUUUCUUCUUAUGGCUUCCUCCUUUAAGGGGUCCAACCAUAUCGAGCCCCCAGACCGCAAAGGGCCAAGUAAUGGGGACUGUAUGGAGGGCGGUGGGCGGCAUAUGGCUUUGAUUUGCAAAAAGCUGGCAACUGACGCAGUGUUGGACAAGGUCCUGUGCGUCUGCCCAGGUUGUCGGCCAGUAGAAACCUGUACGAAAGGCCUUGCUUAUGAGCGCCCGAGCUGUGGUAUGGUGGCCGCCGAGUCCGGCAUGAAUUUCAUCCAAGAGCUGUCGCCCUUCCUCUUCGGAGAUGCACCUUUGGAGCACUCCGGUUGCGCUAUUCUUAUAAAGCUCUCCCUCGUGGACUUUGUAGGCUUUAGAGCACCGCACAAUGCAGCGUGCCUCAUUUUGGUCCUCCAGGAGUUCCUGCCUAUUUAAAUAAGCUAGGAAGGGUUCCGUCCACGGGGCGAUGACCGCCAUGAUCACGUGGGGCGAAGGUGUGAUUUCGGUGGCGGAGCCUCCGAUUACGUCAAAUUGUUCAGGAUCUGGGGUUGUAUGCGGAUCUAGAUUAGUAUUGCUGGACUCCCCUUCCCAUACCAUAGAUGGCUUGAACAGCCUUUCCAAAAAAAAUUGGUGGGAUGGGGUCACGUUUAGCGCCGUCGCGGGUAAGGAUAUCUGCGGCUUGAUUGUUUUCUCGAACCACAUGGUGGAAUUCGAGCCUCUCGAAUCGAGCUGACAUUUUGAGAAUGGCAAUACGGUAAGCCGCCAUUUUUAGGUCUUUGGCGUCAAAGUCUCCAUUUAUUUGAGAUAUUGCGAGAUUUAAAUCCCCGGGUACUUCGAGAUGUUGAAUGCCCAUGGAGACUGCCAUCCGAAGACCGUGCAACAGAGCCUCAUACUCUGGUGCAUUGUUGGAGCCUGUGUAAAGUAUUUGGAGAACGUACUGGACUGUAUCUCCGGUGGGGGACGUCAGGACAACGCUAGCCCCUAGACCAGCUAGCAUCUUAGAGCCGUCAAAGUGCAUGAUCCAAUUGGAGUACACGCCGUACUCUUUAGGGAGUUCAUUCGGCGACGAAGUCAGCCAGUACAUGCGACUUAAUGUCCCGCCGUGGUUUGUAUGUUAUGUCGAAUGGGAGGAGCUCAAUAGCCCAUUUUGCAAUCCGAUCGUGAUUGAACACUCUUGAAAGUAAUUUAUUAUGUCAUUGAGUGGUACUUCGGAGGCCACCGUGAUUGAACACUCUUGAAAGUAAUGUCGUAGUUUCCCAUGAAGACCGCGUAUGCUAUAUUUUGAUAAUGUGGGUACCGUUACUUGCAUGGAGUGAGGACAGUGGAUACGUAGUAUACCGACUUUUUUAAUGGGAAUUUAUGUCCAUCUGUCUCUCGUUCGAUGAUGAGCACUGCGCUUAUGACCUGGUGUGUUGCAGCUAUGUAUAACAACAUGGGUUCACCGACAUUUGGCGCUGCCAGAAUUGGAUUGGUGGCCAAGAGGGAUUUUAUUUCCUCCAGCCCCGCCGUAGCCGCAUCCGUCCACUUGAAGUGUUCGGUGCGUCGAAGAAGGCGAUAAAGAGGUAACACCUUUUCUCCUAAUCGGGAGAUAAAGCGGCUUAGGGCGGCCACGCAUCCAGUUAAUUUCUGGAUUUGCUUGAGGUCUGUUGGGGUAGCCAACUGUGACAGAGCUCAGAUUUUACCCGGAUUUGCUUCGAUUCCUCUAUUGGAGACAAUAAAGCCCAAAAGUUUUCCCGCUGGUAUGCCGAAAACGCAUUUUUCUGGGUUGAGGUUGAUGUCGUAUGUUCGGAGAUUGUCGAACAUAAGCCUCAAGUCGUUUAUUAAUGAUUUGAUGUGUCUAGUUUUAAUGACCACAUCGUCUACGUAAGCCUCCACCGUUUUGCCGAUUUGUGUUUCCAGGCAUGUCUGAAUCAUGCGUUGAUAGGUUGCACUGGCAUUUUUGAGCCCGAAAGGCAUGGUGUUAAAACAGAAGGGACCGUAUGGAGUGAUAAAUGCAGUUGCGGCUUGAUCGGACUCCACCAUCUUGAUUUGGUGGUAUCUGGAGUAUGCAUCGAGGAAACACAAUGAGUCGUGUCCCGCGGUAGCAUCGAUAAUUUGAUCGAUGCGAGGGAGGGGGAAGGGAUCCUUAGGGCAAGCCUUAUUAAGGUCUUUGAAGUUGACGCAUAGGCGCCAGGAUUUUUCCUUCUUUGGUACCAUCACUAGGUUUGCUAGCCAGUCCGGAUGUUUUAUCUCUCUGAUGAAUCCGGCUCCAAGUAGCUUGGCCAGCUCCUCUCCCAUGGCUUGUCGUUUGGGUUCUGAAAAGCGCCGAAGAGUCUGUUUGACCGGCUUGUAUCCCUUUAGUAUGUUUAGGCUAUGUUCGGCCAACCUGCAUGGGAUACCUGGCAUGUCUGAAGGAUGCCACAGGAAAAUGUCCCAAUUCUUGCGCAAGAACUCUCGUAGUGCGGUGUUUAUUGUGGGGUUCAACUGUGCCCCAAUUGAUGCUAUUUUUGUAGGGUCCGUUGGGUGGACAUAGAAUUUGACUAUUUCAUCUGCUGGUUUGAAGGAGGUGGACUUGGGUCGUUUGUCGAGUAUCACGUUGUCCCUGUCCACUACGGAGCGUAGCGCAGUUAACUCCUUGGUCGCGAGGGCUUUGGAUAAUGCCUCCAGGGCUAGUGCAGCAGUUUUAUUUUCGGCACGGAGUGCUAUGUCCGGAUCACUGGCCAGAGUGAUGAUCCCGUUGGUCCUCGACAUCUUGAGCUUCAUGUACCCGUAAUGGGGUAUAGCUUGGAAGCUUGCAAAUGCGUCUCGCCCCAAGAGGGCGUGAUAUCCACUGCUAAAUGGGGCCACUUGGAAUGUGAUUUCUUCGAACCGAUAAUUCUCCGGUGUGGCAAAUACCACAUCCAAUGUGAUUUUCCCUGCGCAUCAUGCCUCCCGACUAGGGAUGAUUCCCCUGAAGGCCGUGCUGCUUUGCUUAAUGCGGCUCUUAUAUAUUUCCAUUUUCUUAAGAGUUUCCUCAUAGAUGAGGUUUAAUUCACUGCCACCGUCCAUCAACACUUUAGUAAGCGAAAUCCAUCUAGUAUUGGACUAAGGACCAAAGCGGCUGGUGCUCGGACUAUUCGGAAUUGAGGUUCGUCGCUGGCGUUGAAGGUUAUGUCUGUAUCACUCCACAGGUUUAUUGCUGCGAUGUGGCAGACUUCGGCGAGGCUGUGGAGCGCUCGCUUGCGCCUAUUGUUUGAGGCAAAAGUCUCGAAGACGGUCAAUAUUGUAUUGUUAUUUUCUGCAGGAUGGUGUUCGGGGUAUUGUCGAUGAGAAGGUCCUCGCCGCUCUUGGCCACCUGCCGGAGUAUCCAACAUGCUCUAAGGCUGUGUGUUGGUGUGGUGUCCUGUGUGCUGUGAAUUUUGCAUUGCCUAUUGAGCCAUCCCUCCAGUACGGUUGCACGCUCUGUAGAGGGCUUUGGCUUAUUUGUAAUUGGGUUGGGUGACUUGCAAGAGCUCACCCUUUUAGUUCGGACGAGGGGUUUAGUUAGGGCCGGAGGAUCCCAUAAUUUUGUUUGGGUCUUCCAAGCGCUUUCCAUCGCGCAGUACUUCUGUACUAUGGCCGCCAGGUCGGUAAACUGUGUUAUGUCACGGCGACUUAUGGCAUUGAGAAUUCCCUUGUCCGUGCAAUUUUUGCAAAAGAAUGAGAUUGAGUCUUCCUCGUGACAGUCCUUAACCUUGCUCAUUACUAGGAGGAUUCUGGCACAGAAGUGGUGUACUGUCUCUUGGGGCUCUUGUAUGAUGUGGGAAUGAUCGCUUGCGUCUCGGUGGGUGGGUGAAAUUAAGUCCACGUCCUGACCCAAUCUGGAACCCAGGGGCGAAGGAGCUCCUGAGCUUGGCGGUUCGGGCUCCCAGAUAUUGCUCAAUAUUUGUGGCCCAUCGCUCGAUUCUAAGUUCGGAGCCUGGGCCACGUCCUCCAGUAGACGGGUAUCCGGCUCAGAGAGCUCGGGAAUCCGGACAUAGUUCGUCCUCAAAAUAGAGGAAGAAUUGUCGUUUUGUUCCUCCACCACCGCUAUCUGAUGGGUCACCGGCGGAGAGUUAAUCUCCCUUAGGUCGGGUUUGAGCCCGAUCCAAUCAUAGUCCGUAGAGACUCCCAGGGCGGCGAUGCGAUCCAAGAUCUCGUUCAAGGAGGAGAGCUCCAUUGGAUCCAUCUGCUCAGUGAAUUCCGGGCUGACGCGGAGGUUGUUUUUGAUGACCUGAGAUGUCAUCAUCGACGCGGCGGCCGAACGGGCGACCAUGACGAAACCGCCCAGCCGAAGAGUUUGGCCUAUAGCCAGGGAUCCUCCGGAGGUGAUGUUAUCCUGGACAACAAGGCGAGCCAUCAAGCCUUAUCAGGACGACACAAUGGAACUCUCAAUGAAAGCACCAAUGUCGGUGUCAAAACCGGCGGAUCUUGGGUAGGGGGUCCCAAACUGUGCGUCUAAGGCUAAUGGUAACAUGAGGCAGGGGACACAAUGUUUUACCCAGGUUCGGGACCUCUUGAUGGAGGUAAUACCCUACUUCCUGCUUGAUUGAUCUUGACGAUAUGAGUAUUACAAGAGUUUAUCUACCACGAGAUCGUAGAGGCUAAACCCUAGAAACUAGCCUAUGAUUAUGAUUGUUGUCGUCCUAUGGACUAAACCCUCCGGUUUAUAUAGACACUGGAGGGAGCUAGGGUUACGCAGAGUCGGUUAUAGAGAAGGAAAUCUACAUAUCCGAAUAUCCAAGCUUUCCUUCCACGCAAAGGAGAGUCCCAUCCGGACACGGGACGAAGUCUUCAAUCUUGUAUCUUCAUAGUCCAAUAGUCCGGCCAAAGUAUAUAGUCCGGCUGUCCGAGGACCCCUUAAUCCAGGACUCCCUCACCCGCCGUCAGGCUCUCACGUACAGUCCUCUUUUGAUGACUCUCAUUUGUUGACCAUGCCGCGCCGAGCAUACCGAGGCGGUGGACGAUGGCGAGGCUCCAUACCGAAAUGACCCAGAUAUGGGGAAGGUGCGGCAAUGGAGUCGCAAACGGAGAGGAGUGGGAAACUUGACUGGUUGAGGUGCGGGGUGGGCCUACACUUGGCAGAGAAUAAUAGGAGGUGUGGAGUGGAGGGAUGGCCUGGCCGUCGGCGGGGUAGCAUUUUGCUGCGAGGCAUGCAAAACAACACCGCUGGACGCCAGAGGCUGGAGCAGGCGGUCCCGGCAGCGCUGGGGGAAUAAGAUGAGAGAUUGAAGAAGAAUGCCGGCCAUUGGAUGUAAAUUCAACGCCUUGCUUAGGCUUCAACCUACUGGCCCACAUGUCAGCCAGUCCAUUUGUUUUUUAGUCCAUUUGGUGGGCUGGGUGAAACAAUAAUGUAGCAUCUAUGCAGCCCGCUUAUAUAUAUGGUAGAAUUUAAAGCCCAUUUGCAUAUUUCUCGAAAUCCGCGACUUGUUGGGCUGGGUGAAAAUAUCAUGUUGGGCUGGACGGAGAAAUGUUAUAAAAACAUAAACACAUGAUUGCACGUCUAUUACUGCAUUGGUUAGUAAAAUCCUUGCAAGCUUAUGUACGCAAUCACUAGGAGUUAACUUGCCAAGUUAUACAUAAACAAUUAUUAUUAUUAUUUUGUAAGAACUUUCAAUUUACGAAAUAAAAUAUCAUUUUAAUUUGAUGAGUUAAUAGGACGUGGGGUAUUAUUUUUUUAGGCUAGACGUGGGACAGUUGAGGUUGUUAUAGGGAAAUGUACUAAGAGAAAACUCAGUUAUCAUCGAAAAAGAAAGAGGAAGAAAAUUCAGAUAUAGGAUUAAUGAAAACAAAAAUAAAGGAAGUGGGAAGGUCUAUAAAAUGGUUGGAUGAAUGACACGUUUAAUGGAACCUUAUAUAUACAUCUGGGCUAUUCUGUUACGCGUAACAGAAUAUUAUUCUGUUACCCUACUUGAACUCACAAUUUCAGGCGGUUGUACUGAUGAUUUCGAAGCGGUUGAACUGAUGCAUUCAGUUUUGUUUAACAGGUCAUCUUCUUUAGUUCAAAAAAUGUUUCCAAUUUUAUUGUCGGAACGGGGCGUGUAAUUUAUUGUUGGAAAGCUCUUGACAACUAUAUUUCAAGUAUACUGAACGUUUUUGUAAAAUCAUUAUGGUUUAAGAGCAGUUUUGAAAAAUCCGUUUUUUUCAAAACUGAAAAUGCGAAUCGUAUUUUGGACUCAAUUUUCAAACGGUUUGUCAGAAUGGAGAAAAUAAGAUGGCCUUGGAAAGCUAGUGAAAAUUCACAUCUUUCAUAUAUCUAUUGCUUUUUCUAAUUCUAUACGAUUUAAAAGUAAUUUGAAAAACGGUAAAAUUCUGGCUGAAAUGUAUUUUCACGGUUUUUUGCAAACGGUUUGUCGGAUUGAUGCAAAUGAUACGGCGUUGGAAAUCUAUGGAAAAUGCAAGUCUUUCGUAUUGAAAUAUUUUUCUAAUUCCGUAUGGUUUAAAAACAAAAUUUGAAUACAGUCAAAUUUGAUUUUGAACGCGAUUUUUUUAAAAGUUUGUCGAAAUGAGGCACAUAAUAUACCGUUGGAAAGAUAUCGAAAAUACAAAACUUAGUGAUGUUGAACGCUUUCUCAAAUUCACAACCGUUGAAGAGUAAUUUGGAUUACGAUGAGCCCAUCGUGCUGUUUUUCGUCAGAAAAAAUAGAGUACUUGUACUGUUCUACGUGUGCAUUUGUACUGAUGUAUUCUUCAGAGACUAAUUUUGAAAGGUUCCGAAAAAAGAGUACUUGAACUGAUGUCCAUAUGGUUUUGUAGUGAGCGUGUUUUAACAUACUAGACUUUACUUUGUUUUGGGUGAUAUUUUUGCUCGUAAGUUUUCAACGGUUUUAUUGUAUAGUCACCUCUGUACUUGCAUGGUUUAUAUCAUCGAACUGAAUGAUAUUUUUUUCAGAAAGAAAAUGUUUUUUUAUUCUUUUUUUAAACUAAACAUUUUUUUACAACGGUGUUCUGGUCUUCUCUUUUUUUACGACUUGUACUUUUCCCAUUUCAAUUGCAUGGGGUUUCUUUUUGCUUGAACUUUUACAAUUUGAAUUUCUGUCAUUUCUUUUAUUCCGAACAGACCACCGUUUUUAACUCGUACUGAUCAAUAUUUUUAAUUAAACCAUUUUUCCUUUCAUUUGACAGAAUUUUUUUCCACACAUAAUACAUGUACAUGAAUCAUAUUACCCAUAGCACCGACCUCAACACAAAAAUCAUCGCCCUAUUCUUGUAUAGAACUUUGUAGAUGUUUCUUUAUACACAUAUUGAGUACUGAUGCUAUGUUUUUCUUUGAACUGGUAUCAAAUUUCUCUAUACACAUAUUGAACUUUGUACGUGUUUUUUUAUGCAUUGAUGAUAUAAUACAUGUUGGACUGCUACACCAUAGCUAAAAAAUCAAUCCAUUUGAACUAUUAUUUUACAUUGAACUUUCAUCAAUCAACAUACAUCAUUUUCCUUUCUGUUCACACACUUACAUAAGACAUUACAUAACACAUGCACAGCUCCAUGAUCAUACACACUUCUCUCCUGUAGCUUCUCCUCGCUAUGUUUAACAAACAAUCAAUUGGAGAGAAAAUCACAAAUGAUUUUAGAUACAAAAAUCACCUCCACAUGCUACCUUAAACUAAUCAAUUGGAGAGAAAAUCACAUGUGAUUUUACAUACAUAAAUCACCUCCACAUCCACUAGCUAUACUGAUGUUUGUUUUCUUCUACUUCCAUUGUCAUGCAUAAGUUCAUACAACUGUUGAGCAAAAGCUCUUUCCCAUGAAGCUAAAAACAAGCAAAAAAGCUACACAUCACAGGUUUCUUUUUUGAACUUUUUUCCUUCUCUAAAUUUUUUCAGGCUAUAAAGGCGAACUUUUACGUGUAUCUACGAACAUGAAACAACAUUAAACAGAACAAGAUCCAUGUGGCCACAGACAAGAUCGCUACAUCAUUACCACCUCUAUGCUUUUGAACUGAUGUAACAAGAUGACUAGAAGUUUGAUACAAGGCCAAAGGACGACCAAAUGGCACAAUCUCAAAAGGCAUAAUUAUUGGAGUCAAGCAACUAGGGAAAGAUCCAAAGCCUCCACAACAUCGACACCUGAUUUGAGUACUACUACGCCAGUUAAGCUAGGCCUUUCUUCUUCAGCAAAAGCCGCAUAAGCACUUGCCUUUCUCAUAGUCGCCAGGACCUGGAAAGAUCUUCAUGCAUUCAUCAUUGCACAAGCUAUCUGUGCAAGGCUUACCGAGUUCAAUGACCGUUGUUGCACAGAACUCAGGGGACACCCUGCUGCCCGAUGAUGGUUCCUUGGCCAAAAUGAGUGCAGGUCCUAAACCGAAAGAAGAUGC
rnacentral:lncRNA from 1 species